ACUUCAUAAUCUACAGACCUUACAAUUCAUCUGGACAUGGAAGUUGAGGAGCUGGUAUUGGUAGAGUUGAAUUGUCCUUUCUGACUUUGAUGAAGGCUUGUGAAUUAAGACUUACAUCCACUCUCCCAUUUGAGAGAGGUAACUUCUUUUUCCAGCAGGUUUCAGACCGGAAAAUAGCAACAGCACACAAACAAUCUUGAAAGCAAGAUUCAUUGCACUUCUCUGCGGUAAAAGGUUUCAACUGCACGUAAUCUGAGAUUGGCCAAUCUGUAUUUAUUAGCACCUCAACAUCAUAUAAAUCUUUUGUGCCACUAAGCUCAUCUUCUUUACAGCCUUGUAUGAAAUCCGGCUUGCAUCCCCGAUAUGGAUCAUUUGGAUCAAGUAAAGAGAACCCUGUUGGGCAUCCACAGGUUGGCCUCUUAUCUCCUUUGAGAGUGCAGAUACUGUUGUACCCACAAACACCUACACCUGAACUUUCGGUAAUUCUUUGGCAAAUAUUAUCUGGCUCUGACCACAGAAUAGUCCAGCUUACAUUUCCAGUGAAAUUCUUGGGGUGAUAAUAUUGAGCAAAAAUCCCAUCAAAGUUGAGAGUUGCUCUAAUAUAGUUGUCCCUUGCUGAGACUACCUCUCCCACUGCAAGAUUGUACUUUCCACCAUUCUCUCUCACAACAUACAAGUAGCCUGAGACAUUGAAAACCAAUUCUUUACCUUCACUACCUGCCACGGUCCCUGAGGUAGUGUCGGUUGCAUAGUAAGGUUCAUUGGCAAAGUUUGUUGGCAAGUUUAUGGUGCUGAGCACAAGGUUCCCAUCUUCUUGCAGAAGCAGCUGGAACCGUCCUUUCGAAUAGUUAGUCUCCGAUUGUCGAGACGAAAGCUUCCCACUUCUUUCCAAUGUCUGUCCAGGCAACAUGGUAUCAGUGGGAUUGUUGAAGGUCUCCCAUAAGCUUUCUGAAUUUCUAUCUUGAAGAACGAAGUUGCCUGUGUCAUUCAUGACCCCAUUGGCAACAACACCAACACUGGUUUCAGAUUUCCAUAGCUCUUCACCCUGAGGACUUCUAAGCACUAGACCGCUGUUGGCAGUCAAGUUCACAGUUGACCCCUUGGGUGCAACUGCAGCCUCAUUAUCCCGAUUUGCAUUCCAAACUAUGGUUCUGUCUGGUAUUUUGGCAUACCAUAUUGAGAGCAGGAAAAGAUCAUUGCUUCCAAGCGGAAAAAAUCCAAAGGCAAAAUCACCAGAUGGAGAAAGCCAUGGUGAGGAGUUAGCUGCAGUUGCAGUUAGGAAAUCCCCCACUGCUAUGCCACCAUUGGUUUGAGCAAACACAGAAACUGGUAGCAGAAACAGUGAGGAAAACAGAAGCAGCCGUACAGUAAAAGCCAUUGCUAAUUUUCUAGCACCAAUGUGGUUCGGCAUACUACAAUAUCUUAGCUAGCUAUAUUUCAUAAUGAAGAAUGGGACCAUGAUGGCCCUUGCUUCCUCGAAAUUUCUUGCUAUAAAUGCGGGUACCACAUCUUAAUGAAGCAUGAAGCGUGCUCAUUUCUGUGAGAUGGCGAGGUGACGCAAAGACAAAAAUUUUAGAAUUUUUUAUGAUGAACUGGGACCUACAAAUUUGAAAAUGUUAUGAAAUAGCUAUAGAUGAAAUCAUCAGUCUAAAAUGGCUGCGACCAUUUAGAAAUUUUUAAGAAUGCAGGACUUUUUAUUUGCAUUAUGGGGUGAACAAGAAGGACUAAUUUAUUUGUAUUGACUGGAAAAUUUUAUUUCAUUCUGUGGAACCAUGAAAGAAAAUGUUCUAAUUGGCUCAAAUUUAGGAAGAAUUACUAGUUACUUUGGUUAAGUGACCCCUGGAAUUGUCAAUAGGCACAUAGUGUGUUAGGUGAUCAAAUGUAACUUAGUCAUUCGCCUGUGAGAUGUCUAAAGUCAGGUUCUAAGUGGGCAAUCAAUGAUGGCUGGGGUAUCUUUGUAAAAGGCAAAGGAACCAAGUGAAGUGGAACAUCAAGUAGGAAGCAACUUACGGCUGAUUGGAGACCGGGCUGGCUGUUUUUUUUUUUUUUUUUGGAUUUAAAAAACAGCACCUUCAAUUUGCUAUUACAAUGUAUUAGGAAUUAAUGCAUGCUAGUGCUGGUAGGCAUAAGAGAUAAUGUCUGCCGACAUUAUAUUUGGUGCGUUAGUGAUUGAAUAAUGCUUUGCAUUCUUCUUUCUCUUCUUUGGCUAUUUAAUCAGGCAAGUAGUGCAUGAGAAGAGUGCUUGUGUAUAGCAAAACCAAAGGAAACCAGAGAGAGAAGAGAGUUGGUUUCAUAUCCACCAUUCAGUGCAAUCCGCUUCUGUCGCGCACAACACUGCACUGCAGUCACCAAGUCAACGAAGUCUAAGGUUGGGCACAUGUUACAGGAUGGGCUAAGUCUAAGUCUAAGUCUAAGGUUCAGAAUCAUGAAUAUGCUGCUACUUUCCAAGUUCCAGUUUCCAUGAUUUACCAGUUGGAGCUUUGUCUUUUUGUUUUUGGAUUGUGGGUGCAAAGUCUUUUUCAAUGUUUUAUAAUGUAGGGUAAUUUUCUUCGACUCCAAUGUUAGGUUUCUUUAUAUGCGUGUUCAUAAUCUUUCACACAAUCUGAAAUACGUAAAGACAUACCUAGAGCCAUCUUUUUUGAGACACCACCUCUGAACUCAUUCAAUUGCAGCAGAAACAAUCCCAACAAGAACAGGAACGGCUCAAGACUUCUGCUCUCUCUUAUAAUCUAUUUCAGCUCUCUCUUAGAUUAGGGUUAGAGAAUGUGUUUGAUGAGAGUAGGGACUUAUAAAGGGUAGGUCAAGUCGUCUCUGCUAAUCACCGAGGGCCGACUUGACUUAUCUUCCAAGCUCACCAAAACAGUUCACGCAAAAAAGGAAAUAAAUAGGACCCAUUUCAAAACCUUUCCUUAUUCCACAAGGUUUUGGGCAUCAAGGAAUAACUUAAUUUAAACUCUUAACAAAACUUGAUAUAACUUAGUAUCUAGUGCACCGAUCUAAAUAGGAAACAUAACAUUCUCCCACUAGAUCAAGCACUAGAGCUUUGAUAAUCUUUACUGUCCAUAAGUUUAAAACAAUUAAGUCAUUCCCUUUAAGCCACAAUGAAAAGUGAUUAGACAAAACGAACUAUAGACAAGCACGACUCUCUUUAUUAAAAAUAGGCCAUCUAUAAUCACAUAAUGCAAUCUCAGAAAACAUGAAGCACCUACCAACGCAAACCUUAAUAUGUACCAAUCCGUAAUGUGAAUCUUUAUGCUUUUCAGUGCAUGUACCUCUUUACGACUUAGCAAGAGUCAAUCCGCAAUGUUAUCAAAACAAUAGUAUCUCAAAAGAGACCAUAAACUCACUUGCAUAAACAAAUUGCAUAAUAACAUCCUUAAAUGCAACUCCCUCAAUCUAGAAAACAGCAAAUAAACAUACUAGUAAAAUAUCAGAAUGGGAACAAGACUCCCACUAGAUUGCAGCAUCAAAGCGAGGAAAUAAUCCCAUGCUCUCAACAUGUCUCAGAAAAGCUUAUGAAGGCAAAACUUUGUGAACAUGUAUGCAAUCAUAUCUUGAGUUUUGGUAUGAUCAAACAUAACUAGGUUGUUCGCUACCUUUCCCUUCACUAUUAAAUAUUUUCUGUCAAUAUGUUGAAGUCUAGACGACAUCUUGUUGUUCAUGCAGUGAAAAGCAGCCGCAAUGUUGUCAUAUAUAUAUCUGUAUUGGUCUAGAAAUCGACUCCACCACCUUAAUGUCUUUAAUAAUAUUUCUUAGCCAUACUGCAUGAGGAGUAGGCUUCAUAGCAAGCUAUGUAUUCUGAAAACAUGGUUGAACUCUAAACACCAGAUUGUUUAGCAUUCUUCCAAGCAAUAACUGCUCCUGCCAUCUUGAAAAGAAAACCUGUAGUAGAGAUGAGAUUCACAUCAACAAAACCAAUAAGCUCUAAAUUCUCCGUGCGUCUGUAAAUCAACAUAUAAGCCUUUGUUCUUUGUAGGUACCUCAAAAUCUUCUUUCUAGCUAUCCAAUGUUGCAUUCCCGGAUUUGGCUGAAAUCUUUCCAUCUUGCUAAUGCACAAGCCUAGGUCUAGCCUUGUACACACUUGUAAGUACAUAUUGCUUCAACUAGAGAAGCUUACGGCUUGUUCCUCAUCUCAUCUUCUUCUUCUUUAUUCUUAGGGCAAUGCUCAUUCUUUAAAUCUCCUUUACCUAACAGAACUUUCUGUCCAAAACACAUACUCAUGUCAAAACGCUUAAGUAUCCUUUCAAUAUAUGUUUUCUGUGACAGGCCUAGGAGACCUCGAGCUCAGUCUCUCUAAAUUUCAAUGCCUAACACAAAAGCAGCUUCUCCCAAAUCCUUCAUCUCAAAAUUGUUUGGAAGUAGCUCUUUACUGUCUUUCAAUAAAUUGUGGUCAUUUGUAGUCAAAAGUAUAUUGUCGACAUACAGCACUAGAAAAAUAAAUUGUUUCCCACAUUUCUUCGGAUAAAUGCAUUGAUCGACUAUUUUCUCUUCAAAAUCAUAAGAUGAAACAGCUUGAUGGAAUUUGAAAUACCACCUCCUGCUUGCUUGCUUCAGUCCAUAAAUUAACUUGUCAAGUUUGCAAACCAUAUGCUUUUUUCCCCCCUUUGCAAACUCUUCAGGUUGCCUCAUAAUAUUUUCUUCUUCAAGUUCAACAUUCAGGAAAGCAGUCCAUUUGAUGUAAAAGUAGGUCAUAAUGCGCCACCAAAGCCACCAUAAUGAUGCGGAAAGAAUCUUUGGUGGAAACUAAAAAAAAAUCUCAGUGUAGUCAAUUCCCUCCCUUUGGGUGAAUCUUUUUACUACCAAUCUAGCCUUAAAUCUUUCGAUUCUUCCAUCCUUAUCCUUCUUUGUUUUAAAUACCUAUUUCAAGCCAACCAAUUUCUGGCUCUUGUGAGGUUCAACUAAUUCUCAUACUUGAUUAUUCUUCAUGUUUUCGAGUUCAUUCAACAUUGUUUCCCUCCAUUUGUCUGCAUCCUGACUCUCUAUAGCUUCUUUACAACUUGUUGUAUCAACCGAUCAUCUCUAAUGUCAAAAUCUGCUUCCUGUAAGUACACAUAAUCCGAAAUUGCUGUGGAUCUUCUUCUUUUUGUUAUUGAUCAACAAGUUCUUCAUACUGAACAACCAGCCUCAACAAUUCUAAUAUUAUAAUUUGGACAAUAAAAUCUAGAACCCUUUGACCUUGUAGGAUAACCAAUAAAAUGACAUCAAAUCAUUUUAGGAUUAAGCUUCUUCUCUUGAGGGUUAUAGAUUCUUAGCUUUAGCCUUACAGCCCCAUACAUGAAGAUGUCACAGGCUAGACUUUCUGGUAGUCCAAAUUUCGAAAGGUGUCAUAGGCACGAACUUCCUAGGCACUCUAUUAAGUAUGUAAUUUACUUUUUUGAUCAGUUCUCCCUAUAGACUCUUAGGCAAAUCAGUUUUAGAAAUCAUGCUACGAACCAUAUCCUUCAAGGUUCAAUUUCUUCUCUCAGCCACACCAUUCUGUUAUGGAGUUCCUGGCAUUGUGUACUGAGCAACUAUUCCAUUAUCUUGUAGAUACCUAGCAAAAGGUCCGGCUUGUCCUCCUCCUUCAUCAAAAUGUCCAUAAUAUUCACCCCUUCUGUCUGACCUUAGAAUUUUGAUCAAUUUGGAAAAACAGUAGGGAUAUGCAAGAGCAAACAAUUUUUAUUGGAAACAUUCCUUUAAUGAAUUCCCUGGGAACUUCUAGAGUUACUUCGGAAACAAAAAAAGUAAAAUAAAAUUUAUUUUUGUUAUUCUCCAGUUGUUCGAAUUCCUUAUGAUCUGCAACUGAAACAAGUUCUUGCUAAUGGUAAAAAAGGAGCUUUGAAUGUAGAAAAAGAAAUAAUAGUAACCUGGUCCCGAGCGUCUACCAUUAUACCUACAAUGAUCGGGCAUACUAUUGCUAUCCAUAAUGGAAAGGAGCAUUUGCCUAUGUAAUCAAGGAAGCCGUACCAAAUACAUCUCUAGAAAUAUCAGAAGUAAUCCGAGCUGUAAUUGUACGUACUUGUAAAGAACUCAAACGCGACAACGGUAUGAUAAUACGAUAUGAUGACAAUGCUGCAGUUGUUAUUGAUCAAGAAGGAAAUCCUAAAGGAACCCGAAAAGCGACCCCAUAGGCUUUCGCUUUCGCGUCUCUCUAAAAUUGCAGUCAUGGUAAAAUCUUGGUUUAUUUAAUCAUUAAUCAUCAGGGACUCCCAAGCACACGAAUUCUCUUUUUCUCAAGCUUCCUUUCUACUUCAGUUUGAUAUUUUUUGAAUAUUUUAAAGCUUGAGACUUUUCUGCUAUGAGAUAUAAAUAACCAAAACGAGAAUGGUCAUCUAUAAAGGUGAUGAAAUAGCAAUUUCUAUCAAUUGUUUGAUGAGGAAAAGGUCCACAAAUAUCUGUGUGGAUGGUUUUUAAAAGAUCACUACUGCGAGUUGCACCUUUCUUUUUAGUCAUAGUGAGUUUUUCAUUAACACAUUUAAUAUAAAUUUCGUCAUCACCGAAAGUCAGUAAUGGCAAGAUUUUUUCCUUAAUAAGAAUUUUAAUUUUUUCUUUUGAAAUGUGUCAUAAACCUCCAUACCAUAACCUAGUGGAUGUUCCUUCACUUCUAAUCUUUUUCUCACUUGAUUCAGCUAUUAAAACUUCACCAUCUUCAUUUUAAUUGAGACAAUAUAAUCCAUCUUUAUUGUCUUUGAAUUCUAAGAUACAAAAACAUCUUUAUUAAAUCCAAAAUAAAACCAAGUCUUAAUAAUCUUGAAUAGAAAUUAAAUUUCUCUUUAUUUAGGGUACUAAAACUACAUCAUCCAACUCUAAAAUAAAUCUUGAAUCCAACUUAAAAUCAACUACUCCAAUAAUAUUUAAUGAAAACAAGAGGUAGCUAUCUAAUCUUCCUUGUCACAACGUGCUGCCAUGAAAGUGUUGUUCUCCCUAGAAGGUCAAGUACCACUAUCUCCCUAUUAGUGGUGGUAUUGAAAAUCUCAACAAGUGAUUCAAGUUGGGGGGUAGGUUUCACAUACUGCACUAGGAGAUUCUUGUAUCGAAGUAGCUUAUUGAUGUUUCGUCCUCUCCCAUAAGCGCAUACACCGAGCUUUACAGCGAUCCUAAGACUUCUGAGAUUGUCCUUUGUAGCCGUGUUUACCCUUAUGGGUCCUCCAUAAGGUGUCGCUGCUCCUUAACCUUUUUUCUCUCCAGCUCAUCUUCGUUCUGCUUCUUAAUUAGCUCCACUAUACGCUUUACUAGAAUUCCAUUCAUGAUUAGUUGACACGAGUUGCUCCUAUUAAUCGCCAGAUGCUUUUCCUUUUCCCUAAGCUCUAGGAAUUGUACUAUAAGAUACAUAAGGUAAGUAGCUAGCUUGAAUUAAAUAUAAUCCAUGAAUAACUUCAAAAUCAAACGUCCAUAUUUUGAAGUUCGAUCCAGUGAAUCUUUCAAUUUGCGAGAAAUUGAUUAUGACAGGACCCGCCCCGGAAUUUCCCGAAGACCGAAGCGGACCCCGUCUUUAUUCCGACAUCAUCCUGAUGCCGGGCCCACCUACUAAGAAAUCGAGACUUUCUACCAAAAUUUUGGCAGAGUCUCCCCUGUAAUUUAAGCAAUCCCAACAAAAAUUUACUCAACCUGCAACGUACACACAAAUAUAAUUCCAACCAGCAGCAUGCUUUCACAAUUCUACAAAUCACUAAAGUGGCCUCCGGCCUCAUAAGUAAAAUCUAUCAUGGGCAAUAUAGAGCAUCUACUGAAUUUAGAUUACAAGAACAGUUGAGUAGAAGAAUUUACACAGUUCCUAACUAGAAAGAUGCGCAGUUUGAGCUUCGUACACCACUCGCACGCUUCCUGGAGCGACUACUGGUUGGGGGGCGCAAAACAGAAAACAUGUGAGUGGACAAAAACCAGAUUUGCAGUUAAAAUCAAUAUAGUAACCCCACCUUGUAAAAAUAAUGCUCAAAUCAUGCAGGUUCACAAUUCAAUAGUUAAUUACUCAAAACAUGAUUCAUUAAAACUCAUCUAAAAACACCAGUUAUCUCUUUCAAAAAGAAUCCCAUUCUCUCAAUCUUGCAACUCCUGUCAAACUACUAGUUCCUUACACACUCACUAUACAUAUACAUAUAAAUAUACCUAUAUAUAUAAAUAUAACUAUAAAUAGCUAUACGAUAUACUCAUCACACCACCUAGGUACCGGGGAAAACAAUCCAACUGGGGGUUCAUUUGACUAGUCCGCAGGAUUUCCAGGUGCUAUCCUGCGUCUAGGGAUGAGCGGUCCAACCGGGGGACGAAACUCCAAAGCUCCCACACCGGAACAUCCAACGCCAUGUGUAGCUUCCAAACUAUGUCCUACGCGCGCAGACUGGGUCAUCACACACCGGAACAUCCAACGCCAUGGUGAUGACCCUAAACAUUAUACAAAGUCCUUCCAUACGCUGGAACAUCCAACGCCGCAUAUAGAAAGUGUCUCACACGCCGGAACAUCCAACGCCGCGAGUGAGACUAGUAACUGGGGAAGGUAAUUACGUAGUGUAAUCACACAACUUCUCUCCAAAAAUCACAUUCUUCCACAUCACCCUCUAACAACCCAAGUAUCUCAUCUAUAGAGAUUAUAUAAAUAUACUUCCCCACAAUCCAUAUAAAAUGCACUCUCAAAAACCCAAAAUGCCAAACUCACAAUAUAUUGCCAAGUGCUAUACGAUCGUCAAACUCAACUCAUGAACAUAAUAUAUAUAUAUAUAUCCAUAAGCCAUUAAAACAUUAUGCAAAAUCUUUCAUCGAUUAAAAACCAUACAUAUGAUUGAAAACAAAGUCCACUCACAAGUAUUCCCUCGCUGCCUGACCACGUGAGGGUCCUGCUUGCUGCGUACGUGCAGUCGAAACACCUAUUUCGAGAUACGAACCGAUAAUUAAUAUAAAAUCACGUCAAAGCGGAAAUUACAAAUUAAAUGCUUAACUCCCCAAAUUCCCCAUACGUGCACGUUGAAGAAGGUAUUCUAAGGUCCGAUUACAGGUUUAGGAAGCGUUCACGAUUUUUACGGUUAUCGCUUACCCGCAAACUUUGCAUUUUUGAAUCGGAACAUCCGGGGCUCCGAUUCAGAAUUCGUGAAGUCCCAUACGGUCCUAGAAAUUCCUAGAACAACAUAUUUUAAUUCGGGAAAGAUCUAACAGUCGGAACCUAUCGAACCCGGAUAACGCUCAAUAUGCGAAAAUCCGUUCGAUAGUCAAACGACAUCCGAAUUGAGAUCCGCGAAUUCCUAUGCGCUCGUGACAACCUAAGGAUCUCAUCGGGUUAAUUUACAGCCUCACCAGCCUUGCCCACGCACCGCCACAUGCACCGGCAGCGCGUGGGUGUGUAGAGUAAUUCCGGCGACGGAAAAACUCCACACCCGAGCUCACCCUUCCUACCCUAGCUCCUACUCGAGGUCAGGAUCACUUCAUUCAACUACGGGAAGGCCCAAUUCGGGCAGCAACUGGCCGGAAUUUCAUUUUGAAAUUCGGCCAAAACCUAGGUUUUCAAAAUCAAUUCCUACCCAACAAAUCAAUCCAAACCUAUACCACCAUCAGCUAGAACUCGAAAAAUAGAUGAGAAACCAUGCCUCACUCACCGGGUUUGGGCGGCGGAGGCGGCGGCGCGACUGCAGGAAAGAUCCGGUUCAAAACCGUCGAGCUCGCGGCCGGAUUUCGUAGUUUCCGACGGGGAAAACGGGCAGGUCUUGAUCAGGGCGACGAGGCGAGUCGAUCGGGACCGGUCUCGGGUGCUGCCGUGGCCGGAGCUGCGAGAACCGAGGAGAGAGAGAGCGGACGUCGGGGAGAGAGAGAGACUGAGGAGAGAGAGAGUGUCGAGCGCGCGCGAGGAGAGAGAGAGCUGAGGUGAAAAUCUGAUUUUUACUUUAUCCCUUUUCGAAAUAUUUACCGUUUUGCCACCGAUACUAUUUUGCCCGUAACUUUUCCGUUACAACUCCGAUUCAAGCCUACCGCAUGUCUACGAAUUCGUCUCAGUACCAUCUACCCAGAAAUACCAUUCGUGGUCCCAAAAUCCUUCCGAAGAAGAAAGUGGCCAAUUUACCCCUACCCCAAGGGUAAAUUCGUAAUUUUAUUUAAAUCAAUUAAAAUAAACAUUUAAUUUGGAGUCGGGGUGUUACAGAUUAAGGGAGUGUUCAAAGCUGUAAGGAUUUGUAAAAGAAAACACAAUUACUUUCCAAGAAACCGAUUCUCAAUUUGUUAAGAGAAAAUAAUUUUUCUGUGUAACUUUAUUCACAAAACUAAUAAAUAACAUAUGCAAACUUCCUUAAUUAAGUAUCACACCUUUGUGGCAAGAGAUUACUUAUAGCUUACACAAAUUACGUGUUAUCUUGUGCCAUCACAAAUAAAUUACAGGAUAGAUUCUAUUUGUUAAAGAAACUUAUCAAGUAAUUUUGGCAUGAUGCAAUUUUAGUUAUUUCUUUAGGGUUUGAGUAUUUGGGUUUGGUUUUGUUAUGACAAAACAUAGUUCAAGAGAGAAAACCCUAAAUUGCAGUGAAUAGUAACUUCUACCCUAAACAGUGUUUUAGGGGUUUUUGGUGUUCGUUUUUGACGCAAAAUACCUUUUUGAAUAAGGAAUGACCUAAUUAACACAGCACAUAGAUUUCCUGUGAUAUAUGGGCAUUUUUAGGGUUUUAAGGUCAUCUAGUAGGUCAAAAACGUGUUUAAAGUUUUGAAUAUAUGAAAAAUCAAAUUAAACAAAUAAGAAAUCGUAAUAGGCAUGCUUGAAAAACGAUUUCAGUGUGUGCAAAUAACCAUGUGCUUUGAUACCAACUGUUAGAUUUAUUUAUAUGCGCGUUCAUGAUCUUUUACACAAUCUGAAAUACGCAGAGACAUACCUAGGGCCAUCUUUCUUGAAUACACGACCUCUGAACUCAUUCAACCGUAGUAGCAACAAUCCCACUCAUUCAACCCCAAAAGCAACAAUCCCAACAAGAACAGGAAUGGCUCAAGACAUCUGCUCUAUCUCAGAAUCUGUUUCAGCUCUCUCUUUAUGAUGAGAUUAGGGUUAAAGAACGUGUCUGAUGAGAGCAAGGCCUUAAGCUUAUAUAUGGCUAGGUUAAGUUGUCUCUACUCAUCAUCGAUGGCCGACUUGACUAAUCUUCCAAGCCCACCAAGACGGUUCACGCAAAAAAGAAAAUAAAUAGGACCCUUUAAUAGGUUUCAAAACCUUUCCUUAUUCCACAAGGUUUUGGGUCUCAAGGCAUAACUUAAUUUAAACUCUUAUCAAAACCUAAUAUAACUUAAUAUCUAGUGCACCGAUCUAAAUAGGAAACAUAACAUCCAAGCAUCAACUUAUGUCCAGCUUAGAUCAUUUGAGUUUAUUAUUUCAAAGCUAAGUUGCUCGUGAGUUCCCAGAAACAAAAGAAUGAGGGCAGAGGGCCCAAAGAGGACAAUAUCAUAUUAUGGCAGAGCCGAUCCGGUAUGUGACAAGAUCAAGGCAAUCAGGGACUAAAAAAAAAAGUGUGGCACAAGGCUCAAAGUUGAAUCCUGUGAGAAAUGAGAAGCAAACAUAAACUCAGGCUUUGUGAUCCUUCAAUUUUUAUAGGACGUCGAUUUCGACUUUGGAAAAGCUUUUUAGAAACCUCCUCCGAUUCUCUUAAAUAAACUUACCACUAUAUAUAUAUAAGCUCAUAUUUUGUGGAUACUAGCUGGGGGAACAUAAAAUCUUUUCUAAGAAAAGUAAUUAUCUGAAUGUCGGAGUGGAGACGAGAAAGAUUCAAAGAUGUUUGAUAAACUAGCCGGCCAUGGUGUCAUUGUCAGGUUCGGUUUUGAAUAUUGAUAUAUGAAUGUUUCUGUAUGCAGUUUCAUGCACCACAAAACAUAAAAAGUAAAAACUUACCUAAGAAUUUUCAUUGACAAACUGGGAUAUCAUCACGAAAAAUCAAAAGUUAGGUUUGAUAAUAUAGAAAUUAAUGAAGAAUAUGGUAGGACAUUAUUUUUAUUGUGGCAUUGACCAGAGAAUCAUCUAUCACAAAGGCUUGAUAGCAUCAUAACAUCUGUUUAUGUUCAAAGUUUGAAACCUGACUAAAAAAAGAAAGUUUUUUUUUCUUUUCUUCUUCUUGUUUCAGCUAAUGGAACUAAAUGGGAAAGGACUUGGGGGAACUGAAACUUGAACUAUUCCUUCAAGCAUCAGCAUAACCUUCUUCAUAGUAGGUCUCACUGCAGGGUCUUCUUGGAUGCACCAAAUGGCAACCAUCACAAAUCUCUCAACUUUGUUCAUAUCAUUCAUGGGAUGAGUGAGGAGAUGAUGAAAUUGUUUGGAGAAAAGAAAUAGAAAGAGGAAAGGAGCAGAACCGAGAAGGAAAAAAAAAUAUAUUAGAGUCGGAUCUAGUCUAAUAAUGGAAAAGAUAAAGACAGCAGCUUUACAACGCACUAAUCUAAGAACAUACUAACAAGACCAUAUGUACAUAUUUGAACCAACUUUACAACUCAUUGAGGUGGGUUGCACACUUGUCUUCUGUGGAAGUAACUUUGGUGGGUUGCAUGUUAUUCCUUUUAGGUUUCAGCCUGUUCUGGUAUACGGAGAGGGACAUGGAGGAACAUGUACUUCCACCACGCCUUCAAGCAUCUGCACAACUUUCCUCAUAGUUGGUCUAAGAGAUGGGUCUUCUUGAAUACACCAAAUACCAAUCAUCACAAGCUUCUUUCUAUCAUCCAAUGCCUCAACUUCAUAAUCUAGAACAGCAUCUAAUAUCCCAUCACGGUAGCAAUCGUACACCCAAUCCGUUAAAAUUGCUCUGUCUUCACAGCCAUUUUCCACAUCAACGCUUCUCCUACAGCAAAUGAUCUCAAGCAGCACAACACCAAAGCUAUACACAUCAACUUUGGCAGUGAUUGGCAUGUUCCUGAACCACUCAGGGGCAACAUACCCUUUUGUUCCUCUAAUGGCAGUAUGUGUGUGGCUCUGAUUCAUCAUCAAAAGCUUUGCCAAUCCAAAAUCAGAGAUCCGAGCAGUGUAAUAAUCGUCAAGCAGUAUGUUCUGAGGCUUUAUAUCACAAUGGAUGACUUGGGUGCUGCACUCUUCAUGCAAGUACAAAAGUCCCUUGGCAACUCCACAAGCAAUUUCAAAUCGCUGCGUCCAACUGGGUUUUGUAUCAGCAAAAAGGAAGCUUGCUAACGUGCCAUUGCUUAAGAACUCGUAUACUAGCAAUCGAUGUUCCCCUUCGUCACAAUACCCAACCAGGCAAACUAGAUUCUUGUGAUGUGUCUUACCAAUUACGCUCAGUUCUGUCUUGAAUUCCUUCUCACCAUCUUGUAUCACACAGUUUAGCUUCUUCACUGCCACUUGGACACCAGAACCAAUUUGUAUUGUCCCUUUGUAAACAACUCCAAACGCACCCCUUCCUAAUUCUUCUGUGAAUCCAUUUGUAGCUUCUUGAAGCUCUCGGUAACUAAAAGAAUACAAAUUUGAGUCCAACAUAUUUUUGAUAGACCUUACUUGUUUCUUCCGGAAAACGAAUAAAAAUCCCAGACAAACAGCAGCACUAAAUAUAAAACUAACAAAGAUAGAGGUAGCCAGAAUUACGGAUUCCACGGGUAUCAAAGUGUUACUGCUCUUCUUCUUCUUAUCAUCUGGAUUUGGCAUUGGAGAAAAUUGUAGAGUUGGGUUAUCCUUUCUGACUUUGAAGAAAGCCUUUGAAUUAAGACUGACAUCCACUCUCCCAUUUGAGAGAGGUAAUUUCUUUUUCCAGCAGGUUUCAUUCCUGAAAACAGCAACAGCACACAAACAAUCUUGAAAGCAAGAUUCAUUGCACUUUUCUGCAGUAAAAGGUCUGAACUCUGCAUAAUCUGAGAUUGGCCAAUCAAUAUUUGUCAUCACGAUUACAUCAUAUGGAUCUUUUGUGGUAGUAAGCUCAUCUUCUUCACAGCCUUGUAUGAAAUCCGGUUUGCAGCUCCCAAAUGGUUCCUUUGGAUCAAGUAAAGAGAAUCCUCUUGGGCAUUGACAGGUUGGCCUAUUAUCAGCGUUGAGCUUGCAGAUACUGUUGUACCCACAAAUACCAAAACCUGAAUCUUCUGUAAUUCUUCGGCAAAUAUCAUCUGGCUCUGACCACAGAAGAGUCCAGCUUACAUUUCCAGUGAAAUUCUUUGGGUGAUAAUACUGAGCGAAAAUCCCAUCAAAGUUGAGAGUUGCUCUAAUAUAGUUGUCCCUUGCUGAGACUACCUCUUCCCCUGCAAGAUUGUACUUUCCACCAUUCUCUCUCAGAACAUACAAGUAGCCUGAGACAUUGAAAACCAAUUCUUUACCUUCACUACCUGCCACAGUCCCUGAGGUAGUGUCGGUUUCAUAGUAAGGUUCGUUGGCAAAUUCUGUUGGCAAGUUUAUGGAGCUGAGCACAAGUUUCCCAUCUUCUUGCAGAAGCAGCUGGAACCGUCCUUUUGAAUAGUCAGUCUCCGAAUAUCGAGAUGAGAGCGUCCCACUUCUUUCAAUUUUCUGUCCAGGCAACAAGGUAUCUGUAGGAUUGUUGAAGGUCUCCCAUAAAUUUCCUGAUUUGCCAUCUUGAAGAACAAAGUUGCCAGUAUUAUUCAUGACCCCAUUGGCAACAACACCAACAAUGGUUUCAGAUUUCCAUAGCUCUUCACCCUGAGGACUUGCAAGCUCUAGUCCACUGUUAGCCAAGUUCACAGUUGAUCCAUUAGGUGCAAGCGCAGGCUUAUUAUCCCUAUUUGCAUACCAAACUAUGGUUCUGUUUGGUAUUUUGGCAUACCAUAUUGAGAGCAGGAAAAGAUCAUUGUUUCCAAGUGGCAGAAAUCCAAAGGCAAAAUCACCAGAUGGAGAAAACCAUGGUGAGGAGUUACCUGCAGUUGCAGUAAGAGAAGCACCGACUGCUAUGCUACCGUUAGUUUGAGCAAACACAGAAACUGGUAGCAGAAACAGUGAGGAAAACAGAAGCAGCCGUACAGUAAUAGUCAUUGCUAAUUUUCUAGCACCGAUGUGGUUAACCGAUGUAGUUAGGCGUACUACAAUAUCCUUUCUGUAAAUGCGUGCACAACAUCUUGCUGUGAGACGGCAAGGUGACAGCGUGACGCAAAGACAAAAACUUCAGAAUUUUUUAUGAUGAAUUGGAUUAUUUCCUAUAUUUUUAUAUCUCUCUUAUAUUUGGUUUUUGUAAGGAAAGUUAAUUAAAAAUAGCAUUAUUACCUUACUUUCUUUAUUUUCAGCUAUUAUGCGCGCUUGGAAGGAUUUCGACGGAAAAUUGACUUUUCGAAUGAAUUUUAGCGCAAGACCAAUUGGAGAAGAAAGCUAAGACAUUGAAGAUCAUUGUAUCACAGUUUUAUAAUUUUCUACUAAGCCAAAUUCUCCAAACUUGCAAGUCAAGACAGCCUAAGUUGAAAUCCCAUCAGAACUGCACUACUAUGGAAGAUUGAAGAUUUGAAGCUUUUUCCGAUUUUUCCUAGUAGCGUGUGACAUAUGCUUGGAAAUUUUAGAGAUCAAGCUACAUUUCUCAUAUUUUGCCAUAAUUUUCUAGGAAGCGUAAGGACCCCAAAACGUGCGUGCAAUUUGACUGACAUGUUUCCAAGUCAAAGAAGGAUUCUUUCUUAGUUUAAUUGUUUGAGAUUUUGUUAUGCUUUAGGAGAGCUUUUCUAGACCUUUUUAGAGUAGGUUUUAGUUGUUUUACACUAUAUUGGUCGCCCUAAGCUCUCUCUAUAUGGACCAUCUUUUUCUACCAUAUACUUUUCACCAUAUUUCACUACACCCACAAAUAUAUCACAGAGAGAGCCAAGAGUUUGCUGUAGCAGUGCUUUUGGAGCUUACAAAGGUGUUGCUGUGGAGAAUCCAGUGAUCAAAUUCAUCUGCCAAAUCGGUUUUAUGACAACAAUUCUCUUGUUUAUCUUUUCUUUUGUUAUGAACUAAUUUGUCUUACUAGGGCUAUGAUGUAGCCUAACCAUGAACACUUAAUUUUUAUAGUUAUAUUAAUUUCUUAUUACUAUUUCAUGUUGAGUAUUUUUUACUAUUCUUAAUGCUUCAAAUAUCUAGCUAAUAUUUAAUUGGUGAUCCAAACGGAGAUCGAGAGGAGAUGUUUGGUGUUUGCUUCUUGUAAUAAAUACCAUGUCUUGAUUGAGUGCCCGAGAGGGACUAACAUGACUCAUGCAAUUUUCUUGCAGGUUCUCAUAGAGCUUAAUGGGUUCUUGAUUUUCUAAAUUCGUUGCUCGAGAGAGAAUGAGUUGUUAAUUAAGAAAAUUUUUGGUUGAGCCCUAGAGGGGAUAUCAAAUGAAUUAGGAGAAACCAACUGUCAACAUGGGUAGUAAUUAGGGUUAAUUGGCUAUAAGAAUUAACUGGAGUUGGUUAUGGUGAAAUCGGAUGCUCUAGUGUCUCAUCAACUUGAUUUUCCAUUGUUAAUUAAGUUGCUAUUUUUUAUAUAUGUUUUAAUUUAGUUUAAUAAAUCAAUCACUCUCAUUAAUCAAUUGUUCAAAUAAACUUCUAAAUUAACCAUAAUUGGUACUUAAAUAGAAAUUACAGUCUUCGUGGGAAUGACACUUCACUUAUCUCUAUAUUACUUGUGCGAAUUGUGCACUUGCAAUAAUUUCAGAACCACCUACAAAAUUUGAAAAUUGUUAUGAAUAGUUAUUGAUGAAAUCAUCAGUUGGAGCUUUGUCUUUUUGUUUUUGGAUUGUGGGUGCGAAGUCUAUUUCAAUGUUUUAUAAUGUAGGGUAAUUACUUGGAAGCUGAAAUUUUCUUUGACUCCUUCAAGCAUCAACUUAUGUCCAGUUAGAUCAUUUGAGUUUAUUGUUUCUGAGCUCUUUGAAGAAAAAUCCAAAAAGCGCAGCAGCCUGUCAUGAUUGAAUAUUGUCCCACAUUGAAAAGUUUGGGAACUAGCAUAUGACCUCAUAGGAUAGGAUUAUUUGUCAAAACUUUACCUUGGCAAUUUUACAAACCCACUUACUAAUGUAGUUUGAGGAUCACUUGGCGAAAAAAAAAAUGUAGUUUGAGGAUCAAAUUCGGAUGUUUCAAAAUGGAGAGACCACCAAUGUGGUUCAAGGCAUACCAUCUAUAGAAAGCAAGAAAAGAUCACUGUUUUCAAGUGGCCAAAAUCCAAGGGCAAAAUCACCAGAUGGAGAAAGCCAUGAUGUAUGAGGAGCUAGGUGAGUAUGGUUUCUUAAAUCAAAGAAUCCCUUGGCCUAUUGUUGAGCAUGAACACAGAGUUUUAUUUAAGUUUUUCUUACGCACGAUCACUCCAUCAAAUGUGCAUAACAAUCACUUUGAUCAAACUAAACGAAUCAAACUUGGUUUUUGGAAUUUUUUUCUUAAAAUUUUGAAUUAGAUCAGGGCAAUCAGGGACAAAAAAAUGUGUGGCACAAGGCUCAAAGUUGAAUCCUGUGAGAAAUAAGAAGCAAACAUAAACUAUUAGGAGCUAGAACAAACAUAAACUCAGGCUUUGUGAUCCUUCAAUUUUUAUAGGACAUCGAUUUCGACUUUGGAAAAGCUUUUUAGAAACCUCCUCCAAUUCUCUUAAAUAAACUAACCACUAUAUAUAUAUAAGCUCACAUUUCGUGGAAACUAGCUGGGGGAACAUAAAAUCUUUUCUAAGAAAAGUAACUAUCUGAAUGUCAGAGUGGACGAGAAAGAUUCAAAGAUGUUUGAUAUAGCCGGCCAUGGUGUCAUUGUCAGGUUUGGCUUUGAAUGAUACAUGAAUGUUUCUGUAUGCAGUUUCAUGCACCACAGAACAUAAAAAAUAAAAACUUACGUAAGAAUUUUCACUACUACAAAAAGUGAAAAAGACGACCAGAAAACAACGACGGUCUCAGUGAAAACCGUCGUGGUUUUUAAAACGACGACGGUUCUAAAAACACCGUCGUGUAAUACCACCUUAGACAACUAAAAAGGGAGAUUCAAAUGGCUGUUCAAAAACAACGACGUACUUAAUUAAACAACCGACGUCUAUUUGAAACAGAUUUCCGCAGUGUAAAAUCAAAGCGAACAAAGAACGGCAGAAGUUAUGAAUCGACCGACGUAGAAAGUAAAGACGACGAUUUCAAUAAAAGCCGCCGUUUUUACUUAUAAAAUAACACGACGAGGUUUUCGUAUAAGACGCUGUCUAAUUACAAACAAAUCCACGGCUGUAAAAUACAAAAUAUCGCCGUAUUAAAUUAAUUUACAACGACGACAAAUAUAAAUAUAUCGACGUCAUUAUUGUAUAGUUCUACGACGUUCUCUUUAAAUCGUACUAUAAAAUCUAACGUCGUAUUUAUGCAUUUUAUACGUCGUACCUUUAAUUUAAACCGUCGUCUUAAUAAGAAUUUUUGUUAACAAUUUUUUUCUUUGAUUUUCUUAUCCUACGUCGGUAGAUAUACUUAAUGACAAGAAUUGAAAUAACCACGACGGUUUAUAUAAAAAACCGCCGACAUAAUCAGAUUUUUCUGAGAUCCCAAGGGUUACGAAAUCUUACCAGAUGGAACUCUGUUCCACAUCAUAAUCUUAACAGAUGACACAGAUUUGAAAUCAGAGAGACAAUUUUUUGGAAGUUGAUGAUGUGUGUGCGUUUGUUUAUCUACAAAUAUUAUACCUAACGUCGUUGCAAAUUUGCAAUCAGAGAAACAAUUUACAACGACGGUUAUAUUAUACCUAACGACGUUUAAAACAAAAAUCAACGUCCCUAAACAAAUAUAUUACGUCGUCUUAGUCUUACUUAAGACGACGAAAAACGACGACAGUAAUACAAAAACAGUCGUUGUUUUUAUAUUCUUAUUUUAUUUAAAUUCCAGAACAUUAAUUUCCUUCAUUUUAAAUUUCCUCCGGAAAAAAAACUCUAUUUAUAACGCACUGUAAUUGAAAAAUAAACUGAAAGUUCAAGGGAAAAAAAAUUCUAUUCAUAAUUUAAAAAUUAAAAUCCACGUCGGUUAUAUUAAAUAUAACGACGUUAAAUGAAAUGAGUCCACGUCGAACUAAAAAUAUUGCGUCGUGUUAGUUAAAAACGACGUAGUUAAAUGUCACCGCCGUAUUUUUUUUUUGAAAUGGUUUUAUAUGUAAGCAACUUUUCGACUUACACAUGCACUGUUUCCAAACCCGAUUAAAAAUCUCAAUCUCCCAGAGAAACCUUUUCGUCUUUUUUCCUUGUCAGAGCAUUGUCAGAGUUUCUCAUCGUCUUCCUCUCGUCUUCUUCGUCGUCUCUGAAUUUAAACAUCGAUCAUCUUCCUCUUGCUUUCAUUGCACGCAAAAGGUAAGCUUUCAUUUUCACUAUUUUGGUUACUGUUUUGCAUGCUCAUACGUUUUUUGUUUGAAAAAUCUUUUUACCUUUUUUCUGGCCAAAAUCAUUUUACUUCUUUCCAAGUUUGAUAAAAUAUACAGACAAAGAGGGAAAGUUUCCAACUUUGAAGACAACUACCUCAACUAAAUAAGACGACGGUAGACCACGACGGUUCGUCAGUUGUUCUAGCGUCGUCUGAAAAUUGACAAAGUUGUUUUUAAUAUAAUAGUCUUUUUUUAUAUGCUUGUUUAAUUGCAGGUUUGAUUUCUCUGAACAAUGGUUUUUGUUUUUCCCUUAUUUGAUAAAAUAUAAAGAAAAAGAAACUAGGGUUGGUAUCUAAUAUAGACGAAAAAUAUCUUAUUGUUUUACGUCGUGUGAAUGUUAAUACCACGACGGUGUAUUACUAUUGACGUCGUAUGAACAUAAAUACCACGACGUUAUAUAAAUAAUAGUUUUACCACGACGGUGUAUUACUAUUGACGUCGUGUGAACAUAUUUACCACGACGUUAUAUAAAUAAUGGUUUUAAACAUUUAUUACGUCUGAGAUUAUUUCAUUGCGUCGUCUAAAAUCAUAUCAUACGUCGUAUUUUUUUAAUACCGUCGUUUGUGUUCUUAAUGUUUUCCUGAAAUAUUUUCACUUGCAGUUUUGUCUGUUAAAAUGGUUUCUCAACAACAAACUAAGGAUUCUGGCUCCAAGAAGCUUGGAGUGGUAGCUCCCCAAGACAAGUCUUCGAAGGAGAUGAAGUCUUCGAAGAAGAUGAAGUUUGCUUCAUCAUCUGCUGAGACAGAACCAACCAGCCAGACAACAAUCUCUGAUGAUUCAAAGACUGGUCGAGGUAUGAGCACAAUGCCUCGUGUUGUGAAGAGAAAGCUUCAGAAACUGAGGCCAAUUGUUGAGUACAAUAAAAGGGGGAAAGGUGUUGGCCAAGCACAUAUUGAGAUGCAGUCGUAUAUUGGUGUCUUGGCACGCUCCAGGAUCCCACUUGUGGACAAGAAAUGGUCCCAAAUCCCAAAGGAUAUAAAGGAGCAGAUUUGGGAAGCAGUUGACAUGGCUUUUGUCGUAGGCCAAGGGGGCAAGACCUCUGUUUUAUCUUCUGCUGCCAAAAAAUGGAAGGAUUUCAAGUCUACACUAACGAGGCAUUAUAUCCUUCCAUACACCAAUGACAGGGAGAAAUUAAGCCAACCCCCUGAAACAUAUAAAUUCAUAGAGAAAGCACAAUGGGAUGCCUUUGUAGCUUCAAGGCUAUCCAAAGAUUUUCAGUCUGUGCAUUCUCAACAUUCACAGAUUAGGGAGAAACUCGAGUACAAUCAUCGAUUGUCUCGAAAAGGAUAUGCUGGAUUGGAGGAUCAAUUGGAGGAAACCAUGCCUGGGGUAGAAAUUGAUCGAUCUACCUUAUGGAAGGGAGCUAGACAGGACAAACAUGGUAACAUCCCUGAUCCAAAGGUGGCAGAGAAGGCAAAAUUAAUUGUAAGCCUACUCACUCUGUUUUAAAUUUUUAUUAAACUGUGAAUUAUUCUUAUUACGUCGUAUGUUAUAUUUUUCGUCGUGUGAAUGAUAUUACCACGUCGAAAAGUUUUUAAAAACGUCGUUAACGGUCUAAAUAGGAAUCACUACUCUGUUUUCUGUUAUUAUAGCAUACGACGUCGGUGGUUCAUUCUCGCGUCGUGUGAAUGAUAUUACCACGUCGAAACUUUUGUAAAAACGUCGUUAACGGUCUAAAUAGGAAUCACUACUCUGUUUUCUUUAAUUAUAGCAUAAGACGUCAGUUGUUUAUUCAUUUCGUCGUUUUAAAUAAAUAACCACGUCGGUAUAACUACCGUCGUGAUAAGUUAUAAUAACGUCGUUUUAUAUGUUAUUGCAUCGUGUGAAAUUAUAUAAUACGUCGUUUGUACAUAAAUAACCGUCGUGUGUUUUUUUGUUUAUCUUUGUUUUAGGAUGAAUUGCAGAAACAAGUCUCGGAAGGCAAAGUCAGAGUAGAUGGCAGCAAUGAUGUGCUGACCAUGGCUUUGGGCCCCGAGCAUCCAGGCAGGGUGAGGGGAGUUGGUGCUGGUGUUUCCCCAAGGCAAUAUUUCAAUUUGCCCAAACCACAGAGGGUGAGCUUUGACGACCGUUUGAAGGAGAGUUUAAGAGUUCUCCUUCAAGAAGAGACUAAAAAGAUUGAGGCUAAGGCAAGGGAAGAGGCCUUAAGGAUGGAGGCUAGGACAAAACAAUUGGUAGAGGCUGAGAGGGAGCAUUUCCUGAGUCAGCUUUCCCAAUUAAUUCCCAAUUUUGAUCCAAGCAUGCUUAAACCAAGAAUUAGCCAAAGCCCCAAAAAUCCAAUGUCUGACAAAGCUAGCUGCUCUGGAGGUGAUGUGAGAUCCCUACAUUUGGAGGAUGAUACUGCCAAAAUGGGGAAACAUCAGCCAGAUGAAGAGAAGGAAGAAGAAAAGAGAGAUGAAGAGAAGGAAGAAGAAAAAAGAUAUGAAGAGAAGGAAGAAGAAAAAAGAGAUGAAGAGAAGGAAGAAGAAAAGGAGAAAGAAGAUGAAGAAAAGCAUGACGACAAGGUAUGUUAACAUAACUUUUUUAUUUGUUUUUCAAAAUUUCAGACGUCGAUAUUUUUAUUUAAUCCGUCGUUUGUUUACAACUUAGACGGCGGAAUUUUUUUAAGACGUAAUAAAAUAUUUAAACGACGGUUUUUUCACCGUCGUUUAAAUGGUUUCAAACGACUCUUUAUUCAUAAAACCGUCGUCUUUAUUAAAUUACCACGACAAUUUUUUCACCGUCGUUUAAAUACUUUUAAAACGACGUUUUAUUCCUUAAACCGUCGUCUUUAUUGAAUUACCACGUCAUUUUUUUUAUUUCUUUAAACAGGUUAUUGAAGUUGGUGCUUAUUCAAAAAUGGAGGCGCCAUCUUCUUUAAAAACCCUUUGUCGUUUUGUGGAAACGACACUCCUGCCUGAGGAUAAGACAGUCCAAUUUACAAUUGAUAAGGAGGUGUUUGGUGGUGAGCGCGAUACCUUCCUCCUGCCUGAAGAUAUUACACAAUUUGCAGGCAUGGAAGAAAUUGGAGCUACUGUAUUGGCUGUAUAUAUGAGGUUUGUACUUCUAAAAUAAUAACUCGUUGGUUUAUAUAUUGCGUCGUCUUAACUAACUAACCACGUCGUCUUAACUAACAACCGUCGUGAUAAAUAUAUUAUAACGUCCUCAUCUAUUUCAGUACGUCGUUUGAAAUAUUAUAAUACGUCGUUUUUUUUAUACAUAACCGUCGUGUUUUGUGUGCUGACUUGUUUAUAUUAUUUUAUUUGUUUAGGUACUUACACGAUGUUUUGAAAAAAGCCAAUAUGUGCAGUAUGGUUGGCUUUAUCGACCCUGCUACAGUUAGCGCCAACUCUGGCACAAUAACUGCAAGAUCACGACUGGUAGCAGCUCGACUUCAGAAGACAGACGGUGAACAGAUUUUCAUGAUGCCUUACAAUCCAGGGUUAGUCUCCUUAGGAUUUUGUUUUUAUGAUUUUCAAUAAAUGACAGCUUAUAAACUAACCACGUCGGUGUUUUAUUUUAUUUAGUCGUUUGAAACUACUAACCACGUCGGUAUUUAUUUAUCGUCGUGAUAAAUAUAUAAUGUCGUCGUUAGCUACUUUACUUCGUCGUGUGAAAUACUAUAAUACGUCGUUUUUGUAAAUAACCGUCGUUUUUAUAUAAAUUUUGUGCAGCCGUCAUUGGAUCUUGCUGAUUGUAAGUGCAAAGAAGGAGACCGUCUAUUUUCUGGAUCCUCUGCCAGGUCAUCGUGUGGUCGACGAAGAGGCGAAAAACAUCGUGAACAGUGCUUUAAAAAUAUAUAAUACCCACAUAGCCCGAGCAGGACGUAAAAAUGUAAUUUGGAAAACUCUCUCAGGCACACCAAAGCAACCCAGCAAUGUCGAAUGCGGGUAUUAUGUAAUGCGCUUCAUGAGGGACAUCAUCAUGGAUCCUUCCUUGGGGUUUGAGAAUAAGGUAAGAAGAAAUUACCUUCAUACAUUUCACGUCGUUUUUUGUAUUAUCAACGACGGUCGUGUAAAAUUAACGUCGUUGAAUGGAUAUACUACGUCGGUUAUGAAAAAUAUCGUCGUCUGUGAUUGAAUUUCUUUUUAUUUAUAAACCCUAAUAGUCAUUGUUUAUGCAGUAUGCCAAGGGAAACCAGGAAGCUUCAUACCCCCAAGAAGCCAUUGAUGAAGUCCGGAAUGAAUGGGCAGAGUUUGUUUUCCAAAUUAUUAAACAGGGCAAUUAUUGAACACUUGAUAUUUAUGUAUAAUGUACCAAUUUUCUCUAUAAUAUGUAAUGUAAAAAUUUGUUGAGGUUUUCUUAAAUUAAAAAAAAAACAAACAUACAAAUUGCUUAACCGACGUGUAAUACUUUUCCAACGACCUAAUAAAGUCAAUAACCGUCGUAUUUUGUUGUUGCGUGUUUUAAACAAAUACGACGUAAAAAAAUAGUUAGACGACGUUCUUUGAACAAUUGAGUCGUUAAUGGUUUACAAUAUCUUCAAUUUCUUAAGGGUUCAGGGUAUAAUCGACGACGUUUAUGUAACGACUGCGGUUAAGUCGUAAAAUAUAUAUUUUACGUCGUAUAGUUAAAUAGCCGCCAUGGUUUCUCAUUUUAACGACGUCAUUUUAACGACUUAGUAGUCUAUUACAAUUUACAACGUCUACAAUUUAUUUAACACCGACGUGGUUUGUUGUAUGGUAAGAAUAUUUUAUUAUUUUUAUAUCAAAAUAUUCAAAAUAAAUAUAAAAUAAAUCAGAAAAUUGAAAAGUCAACUCCUAUGAAGUCAUUGAUAUAUUUUCUUCCACAUAAACCUUGAAAAAAUUCAUUUUGAAUAACAAAAAUUUAAAAUGACCAUCCAAAACAAAAUUGUUUUGAUGAGUCAUAAAAUCACUUCUAGUUUUAUGGUUUAGGGUUUAGAGUCUAGGGUUUAGAGAUUAGGGUUGUUAUUUAUUGGGGUUUAUUUUUAAAGUAUAAUUUUUGGGUAGUCUAUGUUAUAUGUUAGGCUUUAAAACCAUAAAACCUUUUAUAAACUUAAUUUUUUAAAUUGUAUAAUUUAAUUUUAUGGGUUUAGGGUAUUAAUUUUUAACGACGGUGUUUGGGUCGUGGAAUACAUAUUUUACGUCGUACAGUAAAACAUACGACAUGGUUUACGCUUUAAACGACGUCAUUUUAAUAUGUAAGUCGGUUUAUAUAAUUUACAACGUUUUUAAUUUCUUAACACCGACGUGGUUUCUCAUUUUAACGACGUCAUUUAACGACUUAGUAGUCUAUUACAAUUUACAACGUCUACAAUUUAUUUAACACCGACGUGGUUUGUUGUAUGGUAAGAAUAUUUUAUUAUUUUUAUAUCAAAAUAUUCAAAAUAAAUAUAAAAUAAAUCAGAAAAUUGAAAAGUCAACUCCUAUGAAGUCAUUGAUAUAUUUUCUUCCACAUAAACCUUGAAAAAAUUCAUUUUGAAUAACAAAAAUUUAAAAUGACCAUCCAAAACAAAAUUGUUUUGAUGAGUCAUAAAAUCACUUCUAGUUUUAUGGUUUAGGGUUUAGAGUCUAGGGUUUAGAGAUUAGUGUUGUUAUUUAUUGGGGUUUAUUUUUAAAGUAUAAUUUUUGGGUAGUCUAUGUUAUAUGUUAGGCUUUAAAACCAUAAAACCUUUUAUAAACUUAAUUUUUUAAAUUGUAUAAUUUAAUUUUAUGGGUUUAGUGUAUUAAUUUUUAACGACGGUGGUUGGGUCGUGGAAUACAUAUUUUACGUCGUACAGUAAAACAUACGACAUGGUUUACGCUUUAAACGACGUUAUUUUAAUAUGUAAGUCGGUUUAUAUAAUUUACAACGUCUUUAAUUUCUUAACACCGACGUGGUUUUUCAGUCGUCGUUAUAUAAAAAAUUCAAAAUAAAUUUAAAAUUAAUCCGAAAAAUGAACGGCCUUACGUUCUUAAUCCGAAAAAUGAAGUUUCCGUCGUGGAAUAUUAAAUUUACGUCGGUACUUGUAGAACUUUCGCCUUGGUUUUUCUUUCGACGUUUUAUAACGCGCGCGCUCUAAAAAUUUUCGCGCGACCUAAAUUUUUUUAGAUUUGGCUCUUAGUCUUAUACUUCGAUCCCUGAAACCUAAAAUUUCAGAUUUCACGCGACAUAACAUUUCGCUCUCUCACUUCUGCUCUAAUUAAAAGUUGCACUCUCCAGGCUCGUCGAAUCUGUGAGCUCGUCCAACCUGUAAGUACAAACCCUAUCUUCCCCUUGUAAAUUCAUUGAAUGAUAUUAGGUUGUUUUGUUAAAGGGUUUUAGGUAUAUGCUUUGCGAUCUGUUAAUAAUGUGCUUAUAGGUAUGGGUUCAUGGAUUUCUGUUUAAUGGGUUCAUGACAAGAUCAAAUAAAGGUGUACUUUUGCUGGAAAUCAACACAAAAAGACACAGAUCACCAACUUCCAAAUGAUUUCCAGCAAAAGGACACCUUUAUUUGAUCUUGUCAUUUUCCGCUCUGGAGAAGGUGCAAAGUGCACCAAUGCUUAUAGGUAUGGGUUCAUGGAUUUUCUGUUUAAUGGGUUCAUGGAUUACAUUAUCUGUUAUGUUGAAUUGGGAAUGGAUUUAAUUUUGUCGUAUCUUUUAAUCACCCUAUGUUAUGUUGAAUUGGGAAUGGAUUUAUUGUUUUCAUGCUUGGUUUCAUGUAUAUGUUGGUUUCUUGCUUGGUUUCAUAUAUAUGUUGUGUUCUUAAUGGGUUUUGUGUUCUUGAAAAUAAACUGAGACACGACGAAUUUUAAGGCGUACGACGACGAUUACACGACGGUUUUUUUAAACUACCGUCGUUGUAUUACUUAUACACGACGGUUUUUUCAUAAACCGUCGUUUGUAUUACUUAUAAUAGACGACGUCUGUUGAAAAUCCGUCGUCUAUAUAUGCCAAAUACGUCUGUUUUUGAUUAAAACCCGUCGUCUCUGUUGUUUAUUACUUGCGAUUAGAUCAUUGUAUAAUCUGCUAUAGUGAUGGUCAUUGCCUGUAUUUUCACUUUAUUAUAGAUAAUAGGUUAUAGUGUCGGAGAUGGAUAAGUCAUGGAUGCACUCGGAUAGAAGAUCGAAGGCAUAUGAGUUUGGGGUGGAAGCAUUUUUGAACUUUGCUGUAGAAAAUCUUCUAACUACAACACAUAUCCGUUGUCCAUGUGUUAAAUGUGUUAAUUUGAAGUUGUUUGGGGUUGGAAUUAUAAGGGAUCACUUAUACUUUAAUGGAAUUGACCAAAGCUAUAAGAAUUGGACAUUUCACGGAGAACCUUGGGAAGCAACUACUAAUGCUAGCAGAAAUGUUGAAGAAGAUGAUGGCCAUAGUAGGUACAGUUUUGUGUCUGAAGAAAUUGAUAUGGAUGAUAAUGAUUUUGGUGAUUUUGGUUCGGAUCCGUAUGAGUUUGCCAAUGUGAUUGGGGAUGGAGAUCAACCAGUGUACCCUGGUUGUAGAAAGUACACGAAGUUAUCGGCAUUAGUGAAGUUGUAUAAUUUGAAGGCAAAACAUGGGAUGAGUGAUGUCUGUUUUACAGAAUUAUUGAUACUUCAAGGCGAUUUGCUUCCAGAAGGAAAUACAAUACCAACCUCCAUGUAUGAGGCUAAAAAGACUUUGUGUGCAUUGGGGCUGAGUUAUGAGAAAAUGCACGCAUGCCCCAAUGAUUGCAUCUUGUAUAGGAAGGAGUAUGAGGAUUCAACUAAUUGUCCUACUUGUGGUAUCUCAAGGUGGAAGGAAGGCAAAGAUGCAAUCUUGAAAGAGGGUGUGCCAGCGAAGGUGGUGUGGUAUUUUCCCCCAAUUCCAAGGUUUAAAAGGAUGUUUCAAUCACAUGAGACAGCUAAGAGUUUGACUUGGUGGCAUGUUGCUAGAAAAUCAAUUGACGGUCAGAUGUCUCAUCCGGCGGAUUCCCCGUCUUGGAAACUUCUUGAUGAUAAAUGGCCUGAGUUUGGUAAUGAGCCGAGAAACUUGAGAUUGGCUCUUUCAUCUGAUGGAUUCAAUCCCCACAGUUCUCUAAGUAGCAGAUAUAGUUGUUGGCCGGUUAUCUUAGUUACAUAUAAUCUCCCUCCAUGGCUGUGCAUGAAACGAAAGUUCAUGAUGUUAACCUUAUUGAUUUCCGGUCCUAAACAACCCGGAAAUGAUAUAGACGUCUACUUGGAGCCUUUGAUUGAUGAUUUAAAAUCCUUGUGGGUUGGGAUUAGAGGAGUGUAUGAUGCACAUAAUGGAGAAUACUUUACACUCAGAGCUGCAUUAAUGUGGACAAUUAAUGAUUUCCCCGCCUAUGGAAACUUAUCUGGUUGUGUUGUUAAAGGAUAUAAAGCUUGUCCAAUAUGCGGCGAUGAUACACCUAGUCACAGGUUGAAAAAUGGCCACAAAAUUUGUUACAUUGGGCAUAGAAAAUGGUUACCAAUCAAUCAUCCAUAUAGGAGGCAACGUGCAGCUUUUAAUGGGAAACCUGAAUAUGGCAUACCUCCAGAGCCAUUAACCGGAGAAGAAGUGCUGCAUAUGGUUGAAAAUGGUGACAGAGUUUGUUGGAAGAAGAAAUCAAUAUUCUUUGAUCUCGAGUAUUGGAAAUACCUUCUUGUGAGGCAUGCCCUAGAUGUUAUGCACAUUGAGAAGAAUGUUUGCGAUAGUAUCAUUGGUACAUUGCUGGAGAUCCCUGGAAAAAAUAAAGAUGGGAUUGCUGCUCGAUUAGAUUUAUUGAACAUGGGGGUCAAAACUGAUUUGCAACCCGAGUAUGGAGAAAGACGUACUCGUUUGCCUCCUGGGCCUUGGAAUUUGUCAAGAGCAGAGAAGAGAGAGGUUUGCAAUUCUUUCUAUGGUAUGAAGGUCCCUGAAGGUUAUUCUUCAAAUAUUAAAAAUCUUGUAUCUGUACAAGAUUCAAGACUUCUUGGCCUUAAAUCACAUGAUUGUCAUACCUUAAUGCAACAAUUGCUCCCUGUGGCAAUUCGUUCUGUUUUGGAGAAGCCUGCAAGGUAUGCAAUAACUCGCUCGAACUUCUUCUUCAAUGCUAUAUGUGCAAAGACUGUUGAUGUUCCAAGCUAGAUANNNNNNNNNNNNNNNNNNNNNNNNNNNNNNNNNNNNNNNNNNNNNNNNNNNNNNNNNNNNNNNNNNNNNNNNNNNNNNNNNNNNNNNNNNNNNNNNNNNNNNNNNNNNNNNNNNNNNNNCCAGUAUAUUUUAGGUGGAUGUAUCCGUUUGAAAGAUAUAUGAAAGUGCUGAAGGGGUAUGUUCAGAAUCGUACUCGUCCCGAAGGUUGCAUUGCUGAGCGGUAUAUAGCUGAAGAAGCGGUAGAGUUUGUACUCAGCAUUUAUCUGAUGUUAGUACAGUUGGAGUGCCUUCAAGCCAAAAGAUGGGAGUUUCAAAGCCAUUAUCAGGUUGCACAGUGAGCGUAGUUGAUCAGGACCUGUUGAAUCAAGCACAUCUAUAUGUCUUGGAGAAUACGGAGGAAGUCCUACCUUAUAUCGAGUACGUAUGAGUUUUAUUCUUUAAGUUUCCAUUUAAAAUUAUUUCUUAUGUUUAUCUUAUAUAUUUGGGACCGUAAUGCUUGAAUUUUUCGUGUCAUGUAGGCAACAUAUGAUCCACAUCAAGACUGCUUAUCCAAAAUUUAGAAAGAGAACAAAGUGGCUGCAGGAUAAGCACAAUAGCACUUUCAUUCAAUGGCUACGCUUCAAGGUAUAUGUUGUUGAAUAACGUAUUUCUCUUUUAAUUUUCUUCUUAUUUAUAUGUUAGGAUGAAUUAAGAUAUGAUUAAUUUGCAGGUUCAAAGUGAACUUGAGGAAGACAAUCAUGGCGUAUCAGAAAAUUUAAGGUGGCUAGCAGCUGGUCCAAACAUGUCAGUGCCAUUAUAUAGGAGCUAUCUUAUUAAAGGUAUUAAAUUCAAUAUCAAGGCACAAGAUGAUGUGCGGACAACUCAAAAUAGUGGAGUUUAUUUACUUGCACAUACCAUGCAAGUUGCUAGUGCCAAGGAUAAAAACCCAAUUCUCUCAAAUAUGGGUUUCUAUGGUGUCAUUCAAGAAAUUUGGGACCUUGACUACCAAAAGUUUACAAUCCCAGUCUUUAGGUGUGAUUGGAUAGAUAGUUCUGGUCUUGUAGUCGACGAACUUGGAUUUACCCUUGUAGAUUUGAGUAAAAUUGGACAUAGGAAUGACCAAUUUGUUUUGGCUUCUCAAGUCAAACAAAUAUUUUUUGUUGACGACCCGAUGCAUCGUGGUUGGUCGGUAAUGUUAUCAAUGCCUAGUAGAGAAUAUAAUGAUGUUAUUGGUGAUGAAGUAUUAGGUGAUGUGAUAAUUGAGUGUGAGCCAUUUACUAGAGGGAUGCCAAAUGUUGACACAUUUGAUGAACUGGUAGGUGAGUUAGGCGGUCAAAAUAUUCGAGAUGGGUGUGAAGAUAUAUGGAUUGAAUGAUGCUUAUGUAAUUGGCAGUGUAUGACAUUAAUUUUGUAAUAUAUUGUAAUGUGAUUUCUUCACUUUCUACGUUCAAAUAAAACACGACGUUAUUGUGAAUCAGUUAUUCAGCAUAUUUACCGACGUCUUAAAGCAACGUAACAAUGAAGAACCACGACGCUAUUGUGAAGCAAUUAUUCAGGAUAUCACGUCGGUGAAGGAUAAAGAACCGCCAUGUAAUUCAAAAUAACACGACUCCAAUCCCAUAAUACCGACGUCUAAAAAACGAGAUAUAUAAUCUGAACGUUAAAAAAUACGACGUCAUCAUACAUUUUCCACGUCGCAAGUUCUUUUAUAAACGAAGAGGAACGAAAUUAAUUCCGACGGAAAUUCAUUAUAACCGCCGUCUAAUAACAAUUAAACGACGUUAUUUGUAAUACGGCUCCCAUCAUAAUCUACGCCGUCUAUAUGUUCUGUAAUACGGCUCUCAUUUAUUUGGAACCGACGUUGUUUAGAAGUUCAACGUCGUCUAUAUUAUUAAGUGCGUCGUGAGUAAUGAAUACAUAUAAAUACAACGUCGACUAUAUAAAUGUAUACGUCGUAAAUAAUGACACUGACAACUAUUUCCACGUCAUUUUUCUUUUUUAACGACGGUGAUUUUUUUGAGUUGGUCGUCUAUUCUCAUCCUCGACUAUUUUCUAGAACUUUAGCAGACUAUUCUCAUGUAUUUAAAGACGUCAUAUUUUUUCUUGUCGUGUAAAUUGUAUUUAACGGCGUAGUAUUUUAGUUGUCGUCGUUGUAUGUAUAAAUUUUUUAAUACGACUCUCAUAUAUUUGUAACUGACGUUGUUUAGUUUUUCAACGUCUACUAUAGAAACACAUACGUCGUAAAUAAUGACACUGACAACUAUUUCCACGUCAUCUUUUAUCGAAAAAUCGAAGUGGAAAAUUAAUUGUACGACGGUUGUGUUUAUAUGUGCGACGUAGUAGGUAUCAAUAACGUCGUCUUCUAAUGUAUUUAAAGACGUCAUAUUUUUUAUUGUCGUGAAAAUUAUAUUUAACGUCGGCGUAUUUUUAUUGUCGUCGUUGUAUGUCUAUCUUGCGGCCUUGUUCUCUUAAUAUGUGUCAUAUUUUCCCUUUUUAACGACGGUCGUUUUAGAGAAUUGGUCGUCUAUUAUCAUCCUCGAUUGCUUUUUUUAGAUCUUUUUGCAGUACAAAGACGUCGUUUUGUAUUUUUUGAUGACGUUGUAUAGUUUAACAACGACGGUUAUUUAGCGUCGUGGUUUAUGAGGGAAAAGAUGACGGUGGAUUCCACGACCAUUGAAAAACCAAAUACACGACGGUGAUUUACCGUCGUCUUUUUGCUUUUUUGUAGUAGUGUUUCAUUGACAAACUGGGAUAUCAUCACGAAAAAUCAAAAGUUAGAUGUGAUAAUAUAGAAAUUAAUGAAGAAUAUGGUAGGACAUUAUUUUCAUUGUGGCAUUCACCACAGAAAAUCAUCUAUCACAAAGGCUUGAUAGCAUCAUAACAUCUGUUUCUGUUCAAAGUUUGAGACCUGACUUUACAAUUUUUUUUUUCUUUUUCUUCUUCUUGUUUCAGCUAAUGGAACUAAAUGGGAAAAGACUUGGGGGAACUGAAACUUGAACUAUUCCUUCAAGCAUCAGCAUAACCUUCUUCUUGGUAGGUCUCACUGCAGGGUUUUCUUGGAUGCACCAAAUGGCCACCAUCAACUUUGUUCAUAUCAUGCAUGGCCUCCAUGUCAUUUUCAAUCAGAGCAUCUAAUCUGCUUUCCAAAUAGAAGUGAUAUGCCCAGUCAAUUAAAACUCCCCUCUCUCCACCGCCAACUUCCACAUCCACAUUUUUCUCUGGCAACAAACAAUUUCUAGAAGCAAGACGCCGAAACUAUACACAUCAACCUUCACAGAGACUGGUGCAGACUUGAACCAAUCAAAUGCAACAUACCCUUUUGUUCCUCUGAUUGCUGUUUAGAAGCUUGGGUUUGAUUGAGCAGCUUUGCCAAUCCAAAGUCGGAUAUUUGAGCGUUGUAAUAUUCAUCAAGAAGUAUAUUCUGAGGCUUUAUAUCACAAUGGAUGAUCUGUGUGCUGCAUUCUUCAUGCAAGUAAACGAGCCCUCCAGCAAUCCCCAAUGCAAUGUGGCUUCUUUGUUGCCAACUGGGCUUGACAUCAUCCCCAAAAAGGAAGCUGGCCAAAGUGCCAUUGUUCAAGUACUCAUAUACCAGCAACCUGUGCAGUCCCUCAUCACAAUAUCCUAGAAGUCUGACAAGAUUCCUGUGAUGUGUUUGGCCUAUGACCUUAACUUCAGCUUUGAAUUCUUUUUCCUUGUCGUUAAAUACUCUGUCCAACACCUUGACAGCAAGUACUGGUCCUCCUGCAUGAUUAGUUUUCCCCUUGUAAACAAUGCCACAUGAUCGCCUUCUCAGCUCUUCAUUGAACCCUUGUGUUGCUUCUAUGAGCUCUUUGUAGGUAAAGUAGCGCAAAUUGCUUCCUGCUGAAGCUUUGUCCUGUGAGUUCCCGUGAGCUUCUUCUGGUAGUAGAAGAAGAAACCCAAGCAAAUUGCACCAACCAAUAUGAAAUUGACAAACACAGAACUACCCAAGAGUGCUGAUCCCACAAUGAUCAAAGUGUUCUGAUUCUUUGCCUUUGGAGGUAAUGGAGGAGUUGGGCUUUGGAGGGUACCACUACUCCUUGAUUUAAGGAAAGUCUUACCGUUAACUCCACUAUCCUGUCUUCCAUUUGAAAGUGGUAGUUUUUUCUUCCAACAUCUGUUGUCUCUAGAAACAGCUGCAGCACAUAGACAAUCUUCAAAGCAAGAUGUUUUGCACGCUUCAACAUUAUAAGAUGUAAACAACUCAUAAUCUGAUCUUGGACAAUCAGUAUUUGUAAGCUCAUCCAUGUAGUACAAAUCUCUUUCAGAACCCUGCCCUCCACCAUCUUCACAUACUUGCUGCAGGAAAGCUGCCUUGCAACCGCUGUACUCAUCAGUUGGAUUCAAUAAAGAAUACCCCACUGGGCAUCUGCUGUUGGUUUAUAAGUGUGAUUGCCGAAAUGUAAUUAGAACAAAAGAAGUUUCUAUUCUUAGUUUAAAAGGCAGCUUUGGAUCACAGUCCAAGUAUGCAGCAGAAAAAAUGUAAUAGUCUUGUGCCACUUGUCUUUAUCUCAUAGGGUAGUUAAAUGAGUGGCUAGGAUUGAAUGAUGUAAUAAGGAAUAUUCCAUUCCUAACGGUUUUGUCAGAGCACAAUAUAUGCAUGUCAUAUUGGAGCUGAGCUAAUACAAUCUUAGCUAGCUUCUUCUCCAAUCUCUCUCUCUCUCUGAAAUUCUCUCCUCUUUCAUCUAGCCUAUCUCUCUGCAUUUCUAUAAGCCUUAUUACACUGAUGAUUGAAUAAAUAUACAAGAUAAUGGUCUGUAUAUGUUAACAUGGCCUCAGAGCCAGGUUUGAUCAAAUAACACUAGGCGUUUAGAACUGUGAGGAAUCGAAGUUUGCAGCUGAGUUUGAGUUUUGGAGAUCUAAGUCUAACAUGGCUGGGUCAAGUGGUGGUGAAUUGAGAGCACCAGUUUUCAAUGGUGAGAACUACGAUUUCUGGAGUAUACGGAUGAAAACCAUCUUCAAAUCUCAUGGACUGUGGGAUUUGGUGAUAGAGGGAUUCGAUAGUACAGAUCUGAAGAAGUCAGAUGAAUCUGAUGCUAAGAAAAAGGAAAAAGAAGAAUCAAGUGGUAUUGGAAAAGACUCGUUUGCUAUGAUACUCAUGAAGGAUGCUAAGGCUCUGGGAUUGAUUCAAGGAGUAGUUUCAUAUGAGAUAUUCCCACGAAUCUCUUAUGAGGAGACAUCAAAAGGUGCCUGGAAUAUCCUGCAGCAAGAAUAUCAUGGAGGUAAGCAGAUAAGAAGUGUUAAAUUGCAAAGUCUUAGAAGAGAAUUUGAAUAUACAAGGAUGAAGGAUGAUGAAUCAUUAACUGCUUACAUUACUAAACUGUUUGAUUUGAUAAAUCAAAUGCGAAGUUAUGGGGAGGAAUUGCCUAGGGAAAGGGUUGUUCAAAAAUUGCUCAUUAGUCUGCCAUCUGCCUAUGAUUCUAUCUGCUCAGUUAUUGAGCAUUCGAGAGAUCUGAAUGUAAUUGAAGUACAGGAGGUAGUAGCCUCGUUGAAGAGUUUUGAAUUAAGGCUGGACAGACAUUCUGAAAACAAAACUGAGAAGGCAUUUGCUAGUCUCAGUGUGGAUGCCAAAUCAGUUAAAGCUGGUGAUCAAAAUUCUAAACAAAAUAAGAGUGGAAAACAAAAGGCAAGAAGUGGGAUAACAAAACAAAUGAUGGUGCUAAAAAUCCUUGCAAGCACUGUGGCAAAUUAUACUUUGGAGAGUGUCGAUUCAAGGGCAAACCAAAGUGUUUCAACUGUGACAAAUUUGGGCACAUAGCCAAAGAUUGUUACAGUAAGAAACCAACACAGCAAGUCAAUUAUGCUAACCAAGUAGAUGCUACUCCAACUAUGUUUUAUGCUAGCAAUAAAACUGAUGCUAGUAUAAAAGGAGGUGAUGAGGUAUGAUACUUGGACAGUGGAUGUAGCAAUCAUAUGACAGGAAGGGAGGAUCUACUAGUUGACAUGACAGAAAUGUGACUGCAAAAGUUGAAAUGGGAAUUGGACAGCUUGUUGAAGUCACUGGUAAGGGCAGUCUUGUGGUUGAAACCAAAAUGGGCAAGAAAUACAUCAAAGAAGUUAUGCUUGUACCUGGUUUGAAAGAAAACUUACUCAGUGUGGGCCAGAUGAUAGAGCAUGGUUAUUACUUUGUGUUUGGAGAUUUACAAUGACAGUUUUUAUUCCAAUUUGAUUGCAAGGAUACAAAUGAGAGGAAAUCGAAGUUUUCCAAUGAAAUUGCAGGCUGAAAUACAUCUUGCACACAAGGCAAGUGUCUGUCACUCUACUGCAAUAUGGCAUAGAAGACUGGGGCAUCUAAAUCUGAGUAGUCUGAAAUUACUACAAGAGCAAGAAAUGGUUGUGGGAUUGCCAGAAAUUACAGCUGUUACAGAAGUAUGUGAGGGUUGUAUUCUAGGCAAACAGUGCAGAGAGUUAUCUGUGGUCCAAUGCAAACAACUACAAAAGCUGGAAAUUGAUACUUUCUCACUUUCAUAGAUGAUAACACAAGAAUGUGUUGGGUUUAUUUCUUAAGACAAAAGUGUGAGACACUGAGUGUAUUCAAGAGAUUCAAAGCUACUGUGGAACUGCAGAGUGGCUAUAAAUUAAAGAAGCUUAGAAGUGAUUGAGGAGGAGAAUACACCUCAGUGGAAUUUGAUAGGUUCUGUGCAGAUAUAGGCAUAGAAAGGCAGCUAACAACUCCAUAUACACCACAGCAAAAUGGUGUAGCAGAGAGAAAGAACAGAACUAUUGUGGAAAUGGCAAAGUGUUUGUUACUAGAGAAGAAGAUCCCUCUUGAUUUUUGGGCUGAAGCAGUUAAUACAUCAGUGUAUAUUUUGAAUAGGUGUCCAACCAAAGUUUUGAAUAAGAGAACACCAUUUGAAGCUUAUAGUGGAAGAAAGCCUGGAGUUAAGCAUCUAAAAGUGUUUGGUUCAUUGUGCUAUGCUCAUAUUUCAAGUCAACAAAGGUAGAAGCUAGAUUUGACAAGCAAGGUGUGUAUUUUCUUAGGCUAUGGAAGCUGUGAAAAGGGGUAUAGACUUUAUAGUCUUGAAACUGGAAAGAUAAUUGUGUCUAGAGAUGUUGUGUUCAAUGAAGAUGCAUGUUGGGAUUGGAAUACACAGAAAGAAAGAAGUGUGAAGAUUCCAAUUGCUGAAAUACCUGCAAGUAAGCAAGGACAAGAAGAAAACAGCAGUAAUCCUGAAGUACAAGGUGAAGAAGGUGAAAUAUUUGGUAUUAGUACUGAAUCUAGUGAUCAAGAAAGAAUGCCAAGCUCCCAGGAUUUUGAUCACACACCUCGCAAGUACAAGAGCAUUGCAGAAAUCUAUGAGAAAUGCAAUAUGUGCAUCAUAGAACCAGAGAGUUUUGAAGAAGCAGCAAAGGAUGAUUCCUGGAAGAAAGCUAUGGAAGAUGAAAUUCUGAUGAUAAACAAAAAUAACACUUGGGAACUUGUGAAUAGACCAUCUGACAAACCAAUUAUUGGUGUUAAAUGGGUCUAUAAGACAAAACUGAACUUGGAUGGAUCUGUGCAGAAGAACAAGGCACGACUGGUGGCAAAGGGUUAUUCUCAGAAGCCUGGAAUAGACUUCAAUGAGACCUUUGCACUAGUGGCAAGACUUGAUACUGUGAGAACCUUGGUGGAUUUGGCUGCACAAAGAAAUUGGAGGCUAUUUCAGUUGGAUGUAAAGUCGGCAUUUCUUAAUGGAGUGCUAAAAGAAUAAGUGUAUGUGGAUCAACCAUCUGGUUUUGUGAUACAAGGAAGUGAAGAUAAGGUGUAUAGGCUUAAAAAGGCCUUAUAUGGCUUGAAACAAGCUCCAAGAGCUUGGUAUAAAGAGAUAAAUUCCUACUUUACUAAAACUGGUUUUUAUAGGAGUCCAAGUGAAGCUACAUUGUACACUAAGAUGUCUACAAGUGGUAUUCUCAUUGUGUCACUAUAUGUAGAUGAUAUUAUCUACACAGGGAGCUCAAAAGAAAUGAUGGCUAAAUUCAAGAAUGAGAUGAUGAGGCAAUAUGGGAUGACUGACCUAGGAUUGCUUCAUCACUUCCUUGGCCUUGGAGUUCUACAAACUGAUACCUGCAUCUUCUUACACCAGAAGAAGUAUGCAAAGACUUUGCUUGACAAGUUUGGACUCAAGGAUUGCAAGCCUGUUGCAACACCACUGGCUGUGAAUGAAAAAUUGUCAAAGAUGGAUGGAAGUGAUCUUGCAGAUGAAACUUUGUAUAGGCAAAUGGUGGGGAGUUUGCUCUACUUGACUGCAACCAGACCAGAUAUCAUGUUUGCAGCAAGCCUCUUGGCUAGAUUCAUGCAUAAUCCAACCAAGAAGCACAUGGGAACGCAAAGAGGGUGCUGAGAUACAUUCAAGGCACUAUGAAUUAUGGAAUUGCGUAUGAAAAGGGAAAAGGGGCAGUGUUAAUAGGUUACUGUGGUAGUGAGGAUGACAUGAGAAGCACAUCUGGCUAUGCAUUUAAUUUGGGAUCAAGUGUGUUUUCUUGGGCUUCAAUCAAGCAAAGCAGUGUUGCUCUUUCAACUGCAGAGGCUGAGUAUAUGAGUGCAGCAGAAGCUACUGCACAAUCUAUUUGGCUGAGGUUUGUAUUAUCAGACUUUGGGGAGCAGCAAGUAGAACCAACUAAAUUGCUAUGUGAUAAUACUUCAGCUAUUGCUAUAUCGAAGAAUCCAGUUCAUCAUCAUAAAACCAGACAUAUCAAUCGAAGGUUUCAUUUCAUUCGAGAUGCACUUCAAGAUGGUGAGAUUGAUCUACUAUAUUGCAAAACUGAAGAGCAACUUGCUGACAUUUUCACCAAGCCUUUGGCAAGAGAUCGAUUUGUAUAUCUGAGGAAAGCUCUAGGAGUCAUUUCAGCACAACACUUAGAAGGUAGUGUUGGUUUAUAAGUGUGAUUUCUGAAAUGUAAUUAGAACAAAAGAAGUUUCUAUUCUUAGUUUAAAAGGCAGCUUUGGAUCACAGUCCAAGUAUGCAGCAGAAAAAAUGUAAUAGUCUUGUGCCACUUGUCUUUAUCUCAUAGGGUAGUUAAAUGAGUGGCUAGGAUUGAAUGAUGUAAUAAGGAAUAUUCCAUUCCUAACGGUUUUGUCAGAGCACAAUAUAUGCAUGUCAUAUUGGAGUUGAGCUAAUACAAUCUUAGCUAGCUUUCUUCUCCAAUCUCUCUCUCUCUGAAAUUCUCUCCUCUUUCAUCUAGCCUAUCUCUCUGCAUUUCUAUAAGCCUUAUUACACUGAUGAUUGAAUAAAUAUACAAGAUAAUGGUCUGUAUAUGUUAACAUCUGCAACUUGGCCUUCUAUCUUCUUUAAGUGUACAAACACUAUUAUAACCGCAUGGCCCUGUUCCGAGUUCUCCAGCUAUUUUCACACAAAUAUUAUCUGGUUCAGUGUGGAUGACACUCCAGCUUUCACUGGUUGUAGAAUUCUUCGGUUGGUAACUUAUGAUGAAAACCCCAUCAAAAUGGAGAGUUGCUCUGACAUAAUACCUCGUAUGUGAGAGUGCUUGUCCCGGUGUUGUAAUAAAAAAUCUCUCUCCACUUCUUCGCAAUAUGUACAAGUAGCCUGACUGAUCAAAGAUGACCUUGUAACAGGAAUUUGUAUCAUUUGCUUCGUCACGACUGCUGCUGAUAUAAUACGCGUCAUAAGCAUAUUUACCUGGAACAUUUAUGGGGUUGAGCACAGCAUCACCAUUACCAAGCAUCUAAAACUGGUAUCUUCCCCUUGAGAAGUUAGUUUCUGUUUGUCUAGAAUAAAGCAAGCCACCUAUCUCCAUUGUCUGAGUAGGUAAUGAUAGGAUUUUUAGUACUUGUGCAAACAGUGUUAAAAAUCACAUAAAAUACUUGCAAGAAUACAAGGCUAUUGUAGUAUAGAUGCUCAUGCAAGGUCGUUUUCCUCAAGGACUAAUUAGCAAUUUAUGUAAAAACAAAUUCCAAUUACUACUUAAAAUAAAAAGUCAAGAAAGAUGAUUAUAAAUUUGGUGGAUUCUAAAAAACAAAUAUUAAACAAAACCAAAUACGAUUGAGAGAAAGAGUUUUGAAUAUCAAUUUAUAAAAACACUAGGGUUUCACCAUCACCUAGCAAUCCUAUGAACUUUUACCAAUUACUUAUGAUUUGCACAUGCCACUUUGAAGGUUAGGUUUUCCUAAUGUAUAUUCUACUUGGAACCUCCAACACAGAACGUAUAUCCAACAUGCAACCCGUCCGGACGUUCGGAUCAAAUCUGAACAUGAAAGACUCAUUAAGUUUUGUGAAAACCCUUUGAAAAACCAUGCAACCUUUAAGACGUGGUGUUCAUCUUAAGUGAAAUUACAAUUAUUAAUCACAAGAAGCUAGCAUCAAUUUCAGGGAACCUUCCGACCAAAAUUGCAUCCAAUUACUUUUCUAAAGAUCCUAAUGGUGAUCAGGCAUUAAGACAAUUAGAUAGUUUAAAACAGUGAUUAACAAUUCAAGUAGGCAUGCACUCAUCAUAAGCAAUUAAAUAAAAAUCACAUAUUCAUGCUAAGGUUCAAGGCUUCACCCUAGCAAAAGAAAUUUAGUUACGCAUACUCAUAAUUGAAAUCCAAGAAAAUAUCAUUAAGAAGAAAAGAACGAAAACACCUGAAAGUUGUGAAAACCCAAAACCCUAGCAAUUGCUCUCCACAAUGCAAAGUUCAAAAGUGAAAAAAGAAGUCCUUGAUUCCUUGUGAGAAAGAGCUUAAAUACCCCUUAAAACCUAGCUGCCAAUGUACAGCUUUUCUAUCCCCACAAGGAAACUAAUUAAAGUAAAAUAAUACUAGGAAAUAAAGUCCAAAUUGGAAUAGGAGAAUUUGCCUAAAAUCUGCCCAGCCACGUUUUGGCCACAAAUCUCCUCCAAAUCUGGCCCAAGAUAGCUUGUUUUAAAGAUAAAAAUGUUCUGAACACUUCUCUAGAAGGCCACGAACCCAUCCGAGGUCAUCUUGGGCUCCAAAAACGCAAUAAAAGCCCAACACAUCACUAUUCCAGCACCGCGCACUGCUCCUUCAUUUUGUUGCCAGAAAAUAACCGCUUGGAAGAAAAAUCUGAAAUUUUGAUACGAUCAAGCUAAGUGACUCAAGAACGUCCUCCAACUGGAAUUACUCCAAAAUUCCUCAAUUUGAUUAUGUUUUGCUCCAGAGAGAGUCGAAAGUCCUAUAUUGGAAAUAUAAUUCAAAGUAUCAAAAUUCUUCCAAAAUAUUAACCAAAAUAUACUAAGAAUGAGGUUAAAUAUAUAAUAUAAAAUAUGUCCAUCAGGUAACAAGGUAUCAGUUGGAUGAUUGAAGGUCUCCCAAAUGACUCUAAAACUUGUAUCAACAAUCAUAAAGUUUCCCAUGUCGUUCAUUACACCGUAGGCUAUUGCAGCAGCUGGAAAUUCUGUCAAUAGUUGUUGAUCUCCUUGUGGGGGUCUCAGCAGAAGGCCUUGGUCGGUUAGCUCUACUUCUGAUUUUCUCAGAGAAGGGUUGCCUUCAUUUGCAUACCAAACUAUGGUUUUCUGAGGUAUCUUGUGACACCAUAUGGCAAGCAAGAAGUGAUCAUUGUCAAGUUUUUGAAACCCCAAUGCAAAAUCAUUGGAAGGUGAAAGCCACCAAGCAGACUCUUCACCUGCAGUGAGAGUACUACCCACACUAAUGUUACCAUUAGUUUGAGCAAUGACAGAGAAGGGCAGGAGCAGGAAGAGAAGGAAGAGAAGGAAGAGCAGAUGAGGGAGAACAAAAGCCAUUGCUUUCAUUUGUACUUUGGAUCUGUCCACUCACAAAUACAAAUUUAUAGAAGAAACAAAAUUAUUACAAUUGGAGAUUUUAGAAAAGUAAGGUCCAAGAAGACUAAGUAAAAGCUUAUGCAACAUAAGAGCAUUUCCACCAGUUAGCUCCUUGCCUUGGCAAGGGUAGUCCUAGGGCAGCUACUAUUCACGUGAAUAGUGGCUGCCCUAUCCCCCCUCAGCAAAGUGUGUUUCCAGCAGUUUAGGCUUGCCAUGGCAAAUACUAUUCAUUUUUUUGUUUUUUUUCACAACUUUGUUUACUUAAACAAUUAAUUUGGAUAAUAUUUUCGGAUAAGAUUUUUGGGUUCCUACGUGUCAAUACUAUUCAUAUCGGAUAAGAUUUUUGGUUUCAAAUUUCAGAUAAAUUUCAAAUUUCAGAUAUAUUUCAAAAUUCAAAUUUCAGAUAAAUUCAAAAUAUCAAAUUUCAGAUACAUUUCAAAUUUCAAAUUUCAGAUAAGAUUUUCAUCCUCUAAGAUUGCGCAACGUGUCAUAUCUAUCGGUCUAAAUUUUUCUAUAAAACCAGAGGUUCAGCUCAUACCUCCCACACCAGUUCUUCUCUACAUUUCCAUUUCUCAUAUUUUAGAUUUCAUUCUCCAUUCUCAAUGGUAGACAUGCAAGAGGUUUUGGAGAGGCAAGAGCUAGAAACUAGAGAAAUGGAGUGGCGUCUCGUUCAACACUACCGUCAGACCCGUUGGAAUAAUUUGGAAUCUCUUACAAUUCUUCACCACCUCCCAACAAUGGGUAUGGUUGAAACUUUUUUUGCCUUGCCCAGUAGCACCAAACCACAUUUGUGCUUGCAUAAUCUAUAAAAAAAAUUAAGUGGAAAUGCAAGAAACUUUAAAAAAUAUUGGCAAUGCAACAUGUAAAAAAAAACUAAUGCAAAUGCAAUAAAUUUUAAAAAAAUGCAACAUGUAUAAAAAAAAUACAAUAAAUAUUAACAAAAUAUAUAAAUUGCAAGAAACAUUUAAAUAAAAAUUAAUAUGACAUAGAAAUUAAUAGAACGAAAAUGACAAAUAAUUUACCUCACUGCUAAGGUUUUCCCCGCUUCUAUGGUUGUCCAUCACUUUUGCCAAGGCAUUUCUCCAUUUUGCCAACUCUUUAUUAAGAAUUUUCCACCUACUAGAUAAUGCUAUUUCUGUACGUGUCGAACCAAUUGCCCUUUCACAAAAUGCCUGAUGAAUUUUUUUUCCACAUAUGAGAAAAUUUAAUCUCAUUGCUCGUUACGGGACAAUGACUAACUUGGACCCAAGCCUCACACACGCUAACAUCUUCCAUCAUGCUCCAUGCCCCUCCAUUUUCACUAGAAGAACCCAUAAUAUGAUAGAGAAAAAUACAACUUGAAAGUGAAAAAAAUAUUGAGUAGAAAGUGAAUAAUAGUAGAAGGAGAAAAAAAUGUAAGAGGAUUUGGUGUUAAAAGUGAAGAGUAUUGGUUGGUAUUUAUACAAAAAAAAAAAAUUGCAGUAAUUUUUGUGUAUUUUUAAAAAUAUUUUUCAAUAUUUUUUAUUUUUUUAUUGCAGAAAAAUUGGUUGCCGUUGGAUUGAAGGAAAAAAUCGAAUCGGAGAGCCGCCAGGGCGACACGUGUAAGGUAGUCGUUGGCGGCUAUUGUAGCGUGUUGUUUCAAAUUUUUUUUAAUGUUGGCAAGUGCAAUGCACGCGCCAACGAUAAAAAAAAAAAAAAAUGAAAGCUGAAGGGCUGACGCCAGCCUAGCGUCAUCCAUGACGUCACCGCCCUCGGGCUCUUUCUCGGGCUAAACUCCACCUCGGGCCAGCCCAGUCUCAUGGCCCAGACCUCUUGCCCGGGCUGCCUUUUGUUGCUGAAAACCCAUUUUUCUGCCAAACCCCUCUCUCCCUCCCCCCGCCAGCCCGAGUCCAGCCUUAGCUGCUGGACUUGCUCUUUAGAAAGCAUGGUCAUUGUUUUCAUAAAGAAAGCAGUGAGGACAAAAAAGACAUGACCAUUGUUGUCAUAGGAAAAAAAAAAGCAAUGAAAUGAAAUUAUGAGAGAAAUAUAGCUGCAAUUUCAUUUGAUAAGACUGCAAGUGUCCAAUUUCAAUUUGAAAUUUUCUUAUUGGGACCACUACGAAGAAAAAGACUGCAUGAAUUAACUGGUUGAAUUUUGCAGUGGGAAUGGGUCAAGAAAGAGACCUAUAUAUUGACCCAAAAAAUCAGAGAGAAAUAGAAGAGGUAAUGUGGACUAAUCUUAAACUAUACUGAUUAAUCUGCAGGUAUCUUUCUUGUUCUUUUUCACAUCCCCAAAUAACAUAGGAUUUUUCAGGUAUAGAUAUCAUUAAGAGAAUUUUUUUAUACAAGCGAUAUUUGACUUUAAUCUAAUCUAAACUACAGGAAAGGUGAUUUGAACUCAUGUGCAGAGUGGGGAGUACAUCCGCUUUAGCCAACUUGGCUAGGCCCAUGUCUGCAUCAUUAAGAGACUUUUGAAUGCAUCUGCUUGCAGAGCCACAGGUUCUAACCAAAAAUAUGUGGGAGUUGUGUGCACAACACACAGACUCCAUAAACUUAAACGACAAAGUUAUCAUCUUCAUACCAAACUGAGAUUUAAUUUUGGAAACUAAAAAGAAGGAUCUUAUAAACAAUAAUUACAAGCGGAAACGACAUCAGAAGGCUGAUUUAAUACCUUAGGAGUCCUUGACUUGAUGUUAAUGGAAUUUGUGAACAAGUACUUACCAAUAGAAAGGACCACAAUCCACAACCAAUAAUGGCCUUGGUUUUUCAGAAACCAGUAAAAAUAAAUAGGCCACAAACUUCAUACUUAGAUUAAGCAAACACAUAGUUGCACUACGUUUUCUUAACAGAAUUUGUCCUUCACAACAAGAACAUUACUUACACAAAAAUUUACAUACACAAAGCCUUCUUUCUUAUCAGUAUGGCCAAAUUAAAGCGAUGCAAAACUACAAAUAAGUCCACUAAAAACGAUUGAUAAACAGAAAAUAAGCAACUUAGUACCGAAAAUGAUUUAAACCUGCGAUACAAAUGCGGAUGGGCAUGGUGGAACUUUUACUUCCACCACUCCUUCAAGCAUCUGAACAACCUUCUUCAUAUUCGGUCUAACAGAAGGGUCUUCUUGAAUACACCAAAUAGCAACCAUCACAAACUUUUCCAGUGUCGUUUUAUCACCCAAGGCCUGAACUUCAUAAUCUACAACAGCAUCUAAUUCUCCUUCAAGGUAGCAAUCGUAGACCCAGUCCGUUAAUAUUACUUUCUCUUCGCAGUUAUUUUCCACAUCAACGCUUCUCCUACAACAAAUGAUCUCAAGCAGCACAACACCAAAGCUGUACACAUCAACUUUGGUAGUGAUUGGCAUGUUCCUAAACCACUCAGGUGCAACAUACCCUUUUGUUCCUCUAAUGGCAGUAUGAGUCUUGCUCUGAUUCAUCAUCAAAAGCUUUGCCAAUCCAAAGUCAGAGAUUCGAGCAGUGUAAUAAUCGUCAAGCAGUAUGUUCUGAGGCUUUAUAUCACAAUGGAUAAUUUGAGUACCGCAGUCUUCAUGCGAGUACAGAAGUCCUCUGGAAACUCCAUAAGCAAUUUCAAUUCGUUGUCUCCAACUCGGUUUGAUAUCAGUAAAAAGGAAGCUUGCUAAUGUGCCCUUGCUUAAGAACUCGUAUACUAGCAAUCGAUGUUGCCCUUCGUCACAAUACCCAACCAGGCAAACUAGAUUCUUGUGAUGUGUCUUACCAAUUACUCGCAGUUCUGUCUUGAAUUCCUUCUCACCAUCUUGUAUCACACCGUUUAGCUUCUUCACUGCCACUUGGACACCAGAACCAAUUUGUAUUGUCCCUUUGUAAACAACUCCGAAGGUACCUCUUCCUAAUUCUUCUGUGAAUCCAUUUGUAGCUUCUUGAAGCUCUUGGUAACUAAAAGAAUGCAAAUUUGAGUCCAAAAUAUUUUCGACAGACCUUACAUGUUUCUUCCGGAAAACAAAGAAAAAUCCCCGACAAGCAGCAGCACUAAACAUAAAACUAACAAAGAUAGAGGCAGCCAGAAUUAUAGACUCCACGCAUAUCACAGUGUUACUGCUCUUCUUCUUCGUCUUCUUGUCAUCUGGAUUUGGCAUUGGAGGAAAUUGUAGAGUUGAAUUGUCCUUUCUGACUUUGAUGAAGGCUUGUGAAUUAAGAUUUACAUCCACUCUCCCAUUUGAGAGAGGUAACUUCUUUUUCCAACAGGUUUCAGACCGGAAAAUAGCAACAGCACACAAACAAUCUUGAAAGCAAGAUUCAUUGCACCUCUCUGCAGUAAAAGGAUAUACCUUUACAUAAUCUGAGGUUGGCCAAUCUGUAUUUGUUAGCACCUCAACAUCAUAUAAAUAUUUUGUGCCACUAAGCUCAUCUUCUUCACAGCCUUGUAUGAAAUCCGGUUUGCAUCCCCGGUAUGGAUCAUUUGGAUCAAGUAAAGAGAACCCUUUUGGGCAUCCACAGGUUGGCCUCUUAUCUUUGAGAGUGCAGAUACUGUUGUACCCACAAACACCAACACCUGAAUCUUCUCUAUUUCUUUGGCAAAUAUCAUCUGGCUCUGACCACCGAAGAGUCCAGCUCACAUUUCCAGUGAAAUUCUUGGGGUGAUAAUAUUGAGCAAAAAUCCCAUCAAAGUUGAGAGUUGCUCUAAUAUAGUUGUCCCUUGCUGAGACUACCUCUUCCCCUGCAAGAUUGUACUUUCCACCAUUCUCUCUCAGAACAUACAAGUAGCCUGAGACAUUGAAAACCAAUUCUUUACCUUCACUACCUGCCACAGUCCCUGAGGUAGUGUCGGUUGAAUAGUAAGGUUCAUUGGCAAAUUCUGUUGGCAAGUUUAUGGUGCUGAUUACAAGGUUCCCAUCUCCUUGCAGAAGCAGCUGGAACCGUCCUUUCAAAUAGUUAGUCUCCGAUUGUCGAGACGAAAGCGUCCCACUUCUUUCAAUUUUCUGUCCAGGCAACAAGGUAUCUGUAGGAUUGUUGAAGGUCUCCCAUAAGCUUUCUGAAUUUCUAUCUUGAAGAACAAAGUUGCCUGUAUCAUUCAUGACCCCAUUAGCAACAACACCAACACUGAUUUCAGAUUUCCAUAGCUCUUCACCUUGAGGACUUUUAAGCACUAGACCGCUGUUGGCAGUCAAGUUCACAGUUGACCCCUUGGGUGCAACUGCAGCCUCAUUAUCCCGAUCUGCAUACCAAACUAUGGUUCUGUCUGGUAUUUUGGCAUACCAUAUUGAGAGCAGGAAAAGACCAUUGCUUCCAAGUGGAAAAAAUCCAAAGGCAAAAUCACCAGAUGGAGAAAGCCAUGGUGAGGAGUUAGCUGCAGUUGCAGUUAGGGAAUCCCCCACUGCUAUGCUGCCGUUAGUUUGAGCAAACACAGAAACUGGUAGCAGAAACAGACAGGAAAACAGAAGCAGCCGUACAGUAAAAGCCAUUGCUAAUUUUCUAGCACCAAUGUGGUUAGGCAUACUACAAUAUCGUAGCCUAGCUAUUUUAUAAUGAAGAAUGGGACCAUGGCCCUUGCUUCCUUGAAAUUUCUUGCUAUAAAUGCGCGUGCCACAUCUUAAUGAAGCAUGAGACGUGCUCAUUUCUAGUUUGUGUAUACUAAUCUAUAUUAACCAUACACUACGACACGAACUUAAAGACCCUCGCUACCGGUCACACACAAAAAUUUCUCAAAUGACACAUUUUCUCCUUCUAACAGCUUAGUUUGAAAGGCAAAUAUGUCAUUCAAUAGCAAGAAUUUCUCACAAAAUAUUCUCUUGUUAUUUUAUUCUCAAAAUUUGUGUUCAUGAACCGUUUUAUAAUUCUACUAAUUAUGUUCGUAUGUGUACUUGGUAUGAUGUUACGUUGACCUUUCUGUUAUAUAUAUAUACACACACACACACAAAAAAAAAGCUUCAGUGGAGAAUUCCUCAAAUAAUAUUUGAGGGGCACAUUUGUAGGACACACCACAUAUUGUAUUUCAAUAAUCCAAAACUGUCUAGUUUUUAGAUAUUCUCUUUCAAAUAUCAUCUCCAAAAAAUAUUUUUUUUUUUCUGCUAAAAUUUUGCUUCUUGUCUUUGUUGUUGUACCUUUAUGAAUAUUUCUCUGUUGUGGUGGUAGAAAACAUUUAGGCCAUGUUUGGUAUGCUUCACUAUGCCUCACUGGACUGGAUUGGAUUAAACAAUACUUGAAACCCAUGUUUGGUAAGGGAGGGGAUUAUCUUAAAUGAGAUUAUAUAGUCCAAUAGUUAAAAAAAGCCCGGACUCACACAGCUAAUAUAGUGAGCCCAAAAUUGGGUUCGCAAAAUAGGACGCUCGCUAUUUUGAACACGCGAGUCCGACUUCCUUAUCGCUUGAAUCAAAACCCCACCACAGAUCCAAUCAAUGAAACCCAACGCUCAUCGCUCUACCCUGGAUUUCUUCUCAGAACGAUCUCUCUUUGCACCCCAGCAACUAGCAGAACCCAAAACCAUCUCUUUUCGCCAUCUGAGUCCAAUUCGUAGUAGUUCCAAAGAAAAAAAGAAAAGCAAAAAAUAAUGAAACCAGAAACAGAGAGAAGAAAGAAGGAAAAAGGAAGAAAAGAAAAGAAGAAAAAAAUAUGGGUCUGUGUAAUUAUGAUACUGCUCCUAUUUGGGUAGCUUCCUUACUUACUGAUGAUGUUUUGGGGAUGUCUAGAAUCCGCUUGAUUUGUGUUGAGUCGGCUUAGAUCGUUUUCAUUCGAACGCACCAUCCAUUGAGCGCAGACAAUGAAGACGGCAAUGCUGGAAAAAAUGGAGCCAUCUUGCUGUUGUUGCCAAAUUGCUCAUCUUGGAUUACAGGUUUUGAUGCGCUGCUUGGUGGAGACCACAAAAAAAUGAGGACGGGCUGGGAAGAGAACAGGAGAACAAGAAGAAAGGAAAGGGAAAAAAAAAAAAAGGACGGGCUGGGAAGGAAAGGUAGAAGAAAAGGAGAAAAAAGGAAAAAAUGAAGAAAGGAUAAGAUAGUUUGGCUUUUAAAAAAUAUUAAAAUUUAUUUGUUUUAUUAUUAUUUAUUUUAAGGUCAUCCUUAAUUAAAAGUAAAUAUUAGAAUUUUAUUUAUUUAUAAUUAAAAUUAAUUAUUAAAAUAAUUAUUUUUUACUCCGACACAACUCCAAACAUAGGUCUUCACUAUUUUCACAAUCCAGCUUCUUAGUCCGACGCAGCACCAAACAUAGGUCAGUACUUAAUCCAGCUUAGUCCAGUCCGAGCUAAUCCAAAACAGUUCCAGGAUUUAGUCCAGUCCAUGACAGUCCGCCGUACCAAACGACCCCUUACCUCUACUUCUCAUCUUUGUUGUAAAUUUUCCUUCUUUCCUCCCUUCUAGCUAAAAAUAUGGAAAGUUGUAUAGAUAGAAAGAAAAAAAAAAAAAGACGGAUACAGCUGGAAAGGAGUCAUAAAAGGGGUGCUGUCAAAUCUGAGCUUAGAGUUUGUGAGGGUAGGGGGGAAGUAGGACAGAAUUGGAAAAAGAUGGAAGAAAGACCCCAUCAAGUGAAGACUACAAAGUCUUCAAGUGGAUGAGAUUUUGAAUGUGAGAUAUUUAGGCUCAUUUGGUAAUGUUUUAAGGGGUUGUUUUUAUUUUUAGAUAACAAAAAUGAGGCAAAAACACGUUCGGUAGCCAAAAAACAGAAAACACGGAAAAUGAUGUGUACUUGUAGAAAACAGAAAAAAAUUGUUUUCAUUCUCAUGGGAAACGUUGUCAUAAAAUAAAUAAAAGUAAAAAAUAUCUUCUGCGUCCGUGUCUCUAUAUUCUUAGUCAUAUGUUCUUUGCCCCAGCUUACCUCUAACUAAAGUUUCUAGUCUCUGAUCUAUUAUGGUCAUGCCCAUAAAGUAAUCCAAGUUGGGCACGACAAAGAACACGACCCACGGACACGAAUUUUCCACCAUGGUUCCAAGGGCAGAACAGAGAAUACGACCUGCUAACACGAAUUUGCCACCCUAGCUCCAAGGACAUAAACAAAGAACAAGACCCGCUAACACGAAUUUACCACCCUAGCUCCAAGGACACAAACAAAGAACAUGAUCCACUGCCGCUGACACGAAUUUUCCACCAUGGUUCCAAGGGCACGACAAAGAACACGACCCGCUAACACGAAUUUGCCACCCUAGCUCCAAGGACACGACAAAGAACAUGACCCACUGACACGAAUUUUCCACCCUUCCAAGCCAAAAUAUGUAAUAAAUAUGAGCUUGUUAACCAUUUAAGUGUAGCAGUCAAAAUUCAAUAGUAAUAAAUAUGAGCGUUGCUACGUAACUCUAAUUUGAUUAUUUGAAGUUGAAGCCAAUUGCCAAUGAAAUCUACGACGCAAUGUUUCUUAACAAAAAUUUAUCAUUUCCAUUACAUAAAUAGAGCAUUCUUUCUUAACCCUCAACCCUAUCACCUUUGGUACUUUAUAUUUUUUUUCUUCUAACAUUAUUGGUCCUUUGUAUUUUUUAAAAAUAGUUUAACAUUUAAAAUCUUUUAGAAAAAAUUUAAUUGAAAAAGAUAAUUUUUUCAAAAAAUAAUUUUUUUUUAAAUUCAAAUCCACUUGGCAUGUUAUAAUUGGACAUAUAGGCUCUAUAUACAUGUUAUGUCAAAUUCGUUAUGUUAUGUUACAAUUUCUAUUAAAUUGAUGAAAAUUUCAACAGAACCUAACAGAUUUGACGUGACAUGUAUGUAGAGCCUACAUGUCCAAUAAUAACAUGCCAAGUGGAUUUGAAUUAUAAAAAAAAUAUUUUUGGAAUGUCUCUCUUUUUAAAAAAAAUUUAAAAAAAAAUUUAAAAUGUUAAACUAUUUUUUAAAGGGUUUAGAGUUUUUCAACAAAACAUAAUGGAUUUGACGCGACAUGUAUAUGGAGCCUACAUAUCCAUUAAUAACAUGCCAAGUGGAUUUGAAUAAAAAAUGUAUGUUUUGAAAAUUUUCUCUUGUUUAAAAAAAAUUUAAAAAAGAUUUUAAAUGUUAAACUAUUUAAAUGCUGCUAUUUUCACCCCCUUGUCCUAUUUUCCCAUCCACCUUAUUUUCUCACCCACUAUAUGAAUUUGGAAAAACACAAUCCUAUCUUCCACCAACCAUUAUCCUUAUGCUAGAGAGACCAUCUUUUUUGUACCACAAUUAUAUACCAUCAGACGUGGCAUGCCAAAUCAUUUAAUAUAGUUAUAUAUAUUUUAAAUUUUUAUUCUCCCCUAAUUAAAGCACAAAAGUCAUUAAAUAUAGCUAAAUCUAUUUUAUUAUCCCCUAAUGACAGCACAAUUACCGAUACCGAUAGGAGUCUUUCUAUCUUCACUCUGUCUUCUUCCUUCUCCCUACACUGUUUUCUCCACAACAAUUUUAUGAUUGCCGGAUUUUUCAUGGGUGUUAAACACAGAAUCAACCCCUUUCCUCAUGUUGGCUGCCAUUUUUGGUUCUUUGUCUCUUAUGGCCUGCAACUAGUGGUCAAUUUCGCAGUAAAAAAAAAAAAAAAAAACUAGUUGCUAAAAUGUGGUGGAAAAAGCAAUUAAUCUGAUAAAAACUUGGGAGAUUCACUAUAAUACCCAAUAUAUGAGCCCAAAUUAUAAAAAAACCUAUAUGAAAUGGACUUUAGAAACACACCCAAAGUCCAUUUACAACAUAACAAAAAGGUUUUUAACUUCUUUUAAAUUACAAAAUUGUCAUUGAUUUCUUAAAACAAACCCAACCCAAAAACCUCAAAAAAAAAAAAAAAAAAACCCAAAACACUUAAUGGGGCAUCAAAGUAAUUUAAUAAUUAAAAUUAAAUUCAAUAGGGCCAGCUGUUAUUUUUUGGGUAUGUUUAUAGAAAUUAAAUAGUGUAGGGUUUAUUUAUAGUUUUAGUGCUAAGAAUGGAUAUUUGACUAAAUAUUUCUAAAAACUUUAUAUCUUCAUGGACUCUCCCUCAAAAAUCUAACUAUACUGUUCUUGUAAAUCUGAAAUAAUAUAAUAUUUAGAAUCAAAACCCAACCACCUUUCCUUGGUGUAUGAAAUGGGUGAGAGGGAGGAGGAAGACGAGGAAAGAUUAAAAAUAAAUAAAUAAAUAAAUCUUAUGGGAUCAGUGCAUCAAUUAGGAGAGAAUGAAAAUUUAAAAUAUAUGUAAUUGUAUUAAAUGAUUUAGCAUGCCACAUCAUCUUCCACAUCAUAUGGUAUACAAUUGUGGUACAAAAAGAUGGUCUCCCUAGCAUUACCCUUCUCUUUAACCUUCUCCUUUGAACUUUCUCCCUUCUCCUUAUAUCAUGUGUCACUUUCUUUAUACUAAAAUAAUAUCAUUAAUGCAUAGCUUUUGUUUUUCAAAAUUACCCUUAUUAAAUAUAUUGACUUUCAUAUUACAUUUAAUUUAUCUAAAAUUUUUUAUAAAUGGAAAAAAUAAAAAUAGAAAUUAUUAAAAUAAUAUUUUGUUUUACCCACCAACCCCAGCCAUAGACGGGAGCAGAUCCGCUGUCCCCAAAUUGGUGUCCCCUUCAUGUCCUCUCUCUAAUUUGCUGACACGUGUCAAUUAACAUAACGGAGAGUUAACUCCGUUAAUUUUUUUAUUUGACAAUUUUAAAAAUUAAAAAAAUUAUAAACUGCCCAAAAUAACCCACCAGCCAGCGAGCGUCCUUUCUUGCUAAACCCAGAGCGUCGUCUUCCUUGGGGUCUUUUAUGUGUUUGGCUAUCUUUGAAGAAUUUGUGAAUUAAAUGGUUAAUUGGAGUUGAAUCUACUGCUGUUAUGACAUAGAGAUUUAGUUAUUUGGAGUUUAACGAUAUUCACGAGGUGAUGGUUGCUCUGUCGCCAACAACCUUCAAGAGGCAGAGGAGAGGACCCAUCACCUUGGAUGGUUUUGCUCAUGCUCUUCCACGGCUUCCCAUACCAACAAGCUUUGAUGCCGUCAAAAGCACCAGUUUAAUGACUCUGCCUCUUCUUCCGUACCCUCCUCCUCCUCCUCCUCCAUCAUUAGUUUCUGUUGUGACCAACCAAGCAAUGGUGCCAAUUGAGUUUGAGUUAAUUAAACCUUGUGAAGGAGAAGAGAAGCUGAUGGAUUUGAAAAUUGCGGCUGCAAUUCCAAAAGAAAAAGAUCUGCUCCAGCAACUACAAGGAAGUGCCCCUACCCCUACACCAAUCAAUGUCAUAGGGUCUGAAGAAGUUGAAUGCACAAUGUGUUUGACAAAAUGUUGCAGCGAGAUGUAUGCAUUUUGCCAGUUUAUUGACUUACUGAAGAUAAAUCUUUUUUCCCCUCAUGAGGGAAAGAAUGAAAUAUGCUUAAUUUAGGUCCUACCACUUAACAACGAGCAAUAUUCAGUUAUAAUUGAUUCCACAUAGUCGCUGGGUUUAGCAAGGAAGAUGACGUUCGCUGGGUUUAGCAAGGAAGACGACGUUUGCAGGGUUUUGCAAGGAAGACGACGCUGGGUUUGGGCAGUUUUUUAUUUUUUUAAUUUUUAAAAUUGUCAAAUAAAAAAAUUAACGGAGUUAACUUCCCGUUAUGUUAGUUGACACGUGUCAUCAAAUUAGAGAGGGGACAUGGAGGGGACACCAAUUUGGGGACAGCAGAUCCGCUCCCGCCAUGGACCCCAUUUCCAUCUCCCAAAAUAUAUUGCUUCUCUUGCCAGCCAUACCACUGUGUAACAUCUUCCUUCCGCCCUUGUGGCUGGGUUGUUUUUUCAAUGUUUUCAUAUUUCCUUCUUAAUGUUUUAAUUAUUAAUAUCCUAAAACUGAUUUUUAAAAUUUUUUAAAUUGCACUUUGUAUUUUUUUUAAGAACUGAGGGGGUAUUUUAUAUCAAUCAAAAUUUGAUAUGCUACCAAACGACAAAAGGCUUAUCCAUUAAUGUUUCGGAAUUUCAGAUUCUCAAAAUUUUGUGUUUGUUAAAUUAUUAGAUUUUUUUUAUUAUUAUUUUAAAUAACAUUUAUAAUUAUUUUUUAAUAGUAAUUCAAAAGAAAGUUAAUUCAUUCAAUAAGGGUAACUUUGGAAAACAAAGGCUAUGCAUUAAUGACAUUGUUUUAAGAGCAUGUUUACGUAUCAGUAAUGGAGAAAAUAAGGAAUCAGAGAAUUUAGGAAUAGGGGAACUACUGAAUCGGUAUGGGAAGAAUCAUUCACAUUAAGCUGUUUACUAAAUAUCUAGAAUUAGCAAAGGAAUGGGGUUGAUUCCCAUUGUUAUUGUUUACUAAUUUUCAUGAAUUAGAAUCGAAAUUAAUUUGAUUACUGAAAUGCCCUGCACAUUUUCACCACAGCACAUAUAUAAUUCUCAAACUGGCUAAAGAAACCAAACUAAUCCCGCAGCAAACUAGUAAGGCGGUGUAAGCAUGAGGACUCAAUAUGCUGAACAAGAUGAACAGUAAGAGCCCAGUUCAAUGAUAAUGUUAAUAACACCUUUGUCUAGAGUCAAUUUCUAACGAAAAAAUAAACUCCAAUAAAUAUAUAUAUUUCACCUACAUAACUAGUAAACAAUCAAAUAAUAAUAACCUGCAUAAUCUUCAUAUGAUUAAAUACAUAAUCUUCAUACUACCUAAAAAAAAGAAAGAUAUAAUCUCCAUAAAAGUCUUUAUCCAUGAUUGUAUUUUGUUUUGUGAUGAAUGUGAAGACAGAAGAUAGAAGAAGAAGAAGAAGAAGAUAGAUAGAUAGAUAGAUAGAAUGGCUUACAUAGCACAAGGCAUUGUUGCUGCUUCUGGGAGGUUGUGUCUGCAACGCUAACGUGAAAAAGAAGUUGGAGCGUCUUGGAACUUCUUGGUGUGAGUUUUUAUUUUUUUUAAAGGUUUAGGGUGUUUUGGAAGUAUGGUAAAGUGGUAAGAGUAUUUUUGGAAGUUAUUAAGAGUAAACAGGAAUGAGAAUCAUAUCGACUACUCCCCCCUAGUUGAUCUGAUACCUAGUUUUGAGGGGAUGUGAUUACGCAUUUUGAGGUGGGGCCUACUUAUUUUUUCAUUCCUGAUUGCAAGUAAACGCAGGCGAAGUCAAGAAUGGAAAUCAUUCACUUUCCUCCCAUACCCAUUACUGAUACGUAAACAUGCCUUAAGAGGAAAAUAAAAAAUAUAAAAAGGGGAACUAAUGUCGUUAAAAUUAUUUCUUGAGCAUGAAAUUGAAUGCGCUAGAUAAAUGGAAAAGCCAUGCCACCACUAGACUUGGACUAGGAUGGUUUAGAGGAUAAGAAAAAUGCAUACAAGGAUGUGAAGAAAAUUAUAAACAUGUAAGUGAAUAAAUUUUUCUUGAUCCAGAAGGAUGUAACAGAGCACACGCCAUUAAAGCUGUGUACAAUGUUUGCAGGAUAGCUCCAACCCAAUGACAUAUAUCGUUGGCAACAUGAUCUUGUUCGAAAAAGUCUUAUGUGAAUUUUUUACGGCUAUUUUUUCUUCUUCAAGAAACUAAAGAUUAACCAUCUCAGGGUGAUUUUAUAGUUUAGACAUGCUCUGGUGGGUUAGAAAGUUCUUCUCUUUCAGUUUUUGAGUUAGAGAAGAUAACAAGAGAGUGGAGAGAGAAAGUGCGAUUUUAGGGGAGACCAAUUUAUUUUCCAGAAAAAAGUCAAACAAUAGACAAAAAUAACAUUAAUUAUUAUUUUAUAAGUCGAUAAUAUAAACCGUUGAUAGUAGAUGAAUCUAAUGGUGUUAAAAGUGUGUUUUAUUGGUUGUGAAAAUAGAGCAUUCUUUCUUAUUAUCCCCAGUAUAUUAUGGCCAAAUAAAAGAGAUGCAUAUAUCUAAGAAGCGAAAACAGUGCAGAACCACAAACUAGUGUGAUCAUAGAAUCAAAUCCAAAAAAAAAGAACAAGAACAAGAUUGAAAAGCAGGAAAUAAGCUAGUACUGGCAGUAAAACCUUAGCUGCAAUGCAAUGCAAUACAAACAAAGUUGGUUUCAGCUUGUUCUGGGGGUAUAUGGAGAUGGACAUGGAGGAACAUGCACUUCCACCACGCCUUCAAGCAUCUGCACAACUUUCCUCAUAGUUGGUCUAAGAGACGGGUCAUCUUGAAUACACCAAAUAGCAAUCAUCACAAGCUUUUCCGGCUUCAUUCUAUCAUCUAAGGCCUGAACUUCAUUAUCUAGAACUAGAACAGCAUCUAACAUUCCUCCGCGGUAGCAAUCAUAGACCCAAUCCGUUAAAAUUGCUCUCUCCUCACGGCUAUUGUCCGCAUCAACGCUUCUCCUACAGCAAAUGAUCUCAAGCAGCACAACACCAAAGCUAUACACAUCAACUUUGGCAGUGAUUGGCAUGUUCCUGAACCACUCAGGGGCAACAUACCCUUUUGUUCCUCUAAUGGCAGUAUGAGUGUGGCUCUGAUUCAUCAUCAAAAGCUUUGCCAAUCCAAAAUCAGAGAUCCGAGCAGUGUAAUAAUCGUCAAGCAGUAUGUUCUGAGGCUUUAUAUCACAAUGGAUGACUUGGGUGCAGCACUCUUCAUGCAAGUACAAAAGUCCCUUGGCAACUCCACAAGCAAUUUCAAUUCGCUGCGUCCAACUGGGUUUUGUAUCAGCAAAAAGGAAGCUUGCUAACGUGCCCUUGCUUAAGAACUCGUAUACUAGCAAUCGAUGUUGCCCUUCGUCACAAUACCCAACCAGGCAAACUAGAUUCUUGUGAUGUGUCUUACCAAUUACUCGCAGUUCUGUCUUGAAUUCCUUCUCACCAUCUUGUAUCACACCGUUUAGCUUCUUCACUGCCACUUGGACACCGGAACCAAUUUGUAUUGUCCCUUUGUAGACAACUCCAAAGGCACCUCUUCCUAAUUCUUCUGUGAAUCCAUUUGUUGCUUCUCGAAGCACUUGGUAACUAAAAGAAUGCAAAUUUGAGUCCAAAAUAUUGUCGAUAGACCUUACAUGUUUCUUCCGGAAAACAAAGAAAAAUCCCGGACAAGCAGCAGCACUAAACAUAAAACUAACAAAGAUAGAGGCAGCCAGAAUUAUAGACUCCACGCGUAUCAAAGUGUUACUGCUCUUCUUCUUCGUCUUCUUGUCAUCUGGAUUUGGCAUUGGAGGAAAUUGUAGAGUUGAAUUAUCCUUUCUGACUUUGAUGAAGGCUUGUGAAUUAAGACUUACAUCCACUCUCCCAUUUGAGAGAGGUAACUUCUUUUUCCAACAGGUUUCAGACCGGAAAAUAGCAACAGCACACAAACAAUCUUUAAAGCAAG
rnacentral:lncRNA from 1 species